AAUAACUUCAAAUAUUUUCUUAUACCAUAAUAUAAUUUUUCAUGAUUUUUAAAGUAUUAAAAUCAUUUCUAAGUAAUUUAUUUAAUAAUAUAAUUAAAUAAAUUAAAUACCAUUUAUAUUUCAAAAAUAUUAAAUAUUUAUGAAAUAUACUCAAAAUAAUUAAAAACUAAUUUUCAGGCUUUAAAAUAAUUUUUAGGAAUUUAUUAUGUAUUUUUAAUAAUAAAAAACCAUUUUUAUCUAUUUAAUAAAUAAAAUACUUAAUUUCCAUAAAUAAACUGUCACUAAAGGUCCCUAUAGCGACAGAAUCGUCGCUAUAGGUGUUCUUGAGCAUGAAUCGAUAGCCAAUAUGUCAGUCUACAGGUCUAUUACAAUAGCAUGGCCUAAACAUCAACGAUAAGUAAAAUCAGAAGCCUCAAAUAGCUUGUAAGACCAUUCCUGGAAAAUUUAGGUUUUCCAGAUUCUAAGUUUUGUGCUUGGUCAACGGUCUUUGACCGAUCAUAUCUUGUAAUCUAAACAUGUUAUGGGCUUGAUUCAAGUCUCAUAUUAAAGUCCUAACAUCAAAGAACAGAUCUAUAACAUAACAUAUACCAAACAUCAAACACACAUAGAUCUAAGGCCUCUGACAUAUGACUGUCAGGCCAUUUUUUUUCCAGAGUUCCAGAUUUUUAAAAACUCAAAUUUGGAGCACUUUGAUGUUAGGGAUCUGGGAUUUAACAACCCAGAUCACUAAUUAACACCUUAUAACACACUUCUAAACAACAAAUCAUAACAUCUAACAUCAAAUCUAAGGAUUUCAAGAUUUAGGGUUUAUACCUCAUUCAUGCUUUGAUCUUGAAUCUGAUCUUUGUGAUUUGUUCCUGGCAUGCUAAUGUUCUUACUAGUGACUGAUUUACUCAAUAUUUUCGUGGCUACGGAGAGAGAAAGGUUUGGUUGAGUGUAAGGAUGCAAAUGAGCUUAGUUUGGCGACUUUCCCUCUCUUUGAUCUAUAUAUAAAAUGAUAAUAUGCAAUGGCUGAUCAUGUGAUCAGUUGUUGGAUGACUAAAGUAGCUUUCUAGACCUCACGGCUAGCCUAGGGUUGGACACCAACCACAAAUAGGGUUAGAUCUACACUCCACCUCAUUAAAAUAUAAAGAAGGGUACCUUGGUCUUUUGACUCAUAAAGUGCAUGGCAACUUGGUAACUUCUCACAAUUAUUAGGUUUUAGCCAUUAGGGUUUGACCCUUAGGGUUUAACCCUAAGAUUACACAAAUUUAUAUUCUAGACUUUUCUAAUUAGGUUCUAAAAAUUGAAAAUUAUAAUUCGGUUUUCCUAAUUAUAAUAAAGUUUACUAAUUACAUUCAAGCUUGCUAAUUAGAGUUAAGGCUUCCUAAUUUACAUUAAACUCCAUAAAUUAAUAAUUAGGUUUUCUCUAAUUGUACAUUAGGGUUUCCAACAUUAGAAAUUAGGACUUUCUAAUUAAUCAAUUAGGGUCAUCCCUAAUUAUACUUACAAUUAAUAACAUAGAAACUCUAUACUUAUCUUCAAGCUUCCCAAUUAGGAAUAUGGAUUCCCGGAACUGUAAUUAGGGUUUCCAUAGCCGGGUAAUAGGGUUUCUUAUCAGUCGUUAGGGUUUUCUAACUGAACGUCGAGGCUCUUAGUAUAUUAUUAGGGUUUGUGACUGAUAUAAUUUAUCCGGUCAACCCUUGACCCUUAACCACAUACUAUACACACAUAUGACCAUAUACACAAAUACACUUAACACUGUAAACCUUUACCAAGAGUUUGUAAAUUCACAAAAUUCAUUCCUAAAAAUGUUAAAUACAUACACUUAUUUUCUGUCUAGGUUUAUUAUUUAACCUUUAUUCAAUCUUUUAAGAUUUUAUAAAAUUUUCUAAAUUCUCGGGUUGUCACAACAUGUCCUACCAAAUGGAAGGGAUUAGUAACAGUUAUAUUCGCUGAGGCUGAUGAGACUGUCAAACCAUUUCCCAUACAAACAAUUCAACUCAAAGGAGCUGACAAUCCUUUGAAAGUGUCUGCACCAGAGCCAAUUUCUUUACCGUUCAUACCACAGUAUCCUGUUGUCAGCCUACACAAAGUCCCAUGGAAUUAUGGGGAAGCUGAAGGAUCCACGUCUCAUACUAGUGCUACAGUGUCGAAGGAAAAUCCAUUGUAUCUUCCUCAGAGUGUGAUGAAGCCCACCAUAAAAGCAAAGGGGAAGAUUCCCAUAGAGAAGAUUGAGAAAUUCCUCUGCACUAUGGGUCAUAAUGAAGCCAAGGUUCUAACCUUAAUAGAAGCUCGACAUCAAAUCUCAAUACUGGACUUGGUUUUCUCUUCCGAGGAUCACAGGAAGAUCUUAUUGAAGGUUUUGGAAGAAGCCUACUUACCAAAGUCAGUGGAUGUGGAAAAUUUUCAACAUCUGGUUGAUCACAUUUUUAACAACAAUGUGAUAUCCUUCACUGAUAACGACAUAACGCCCGAAGGGACCGGUCAUUGCAAGUCAUUGCACAUCGCAGUUUUAUCCUUCGGGUAUAUGUUAACUGGAGUUUUGAUAGACAGAGGUUCGUCUCUAAAUAUCUGUCCUUAUGCCACUUUGGUGAAGAUGAACGUGAAUCUCAAACGGAUCCGAAGUAGCCAUACGGUUAUCAAAGCUUUUGAUGGAUCCCGACGAAAUUUUGUCAGAGAGAUUGAGCUCCCAAUUGAGAUUGGUCCAAAUACAUUCAAUGUAUCCUUUCACGUCCUCAAGAUAGAUUCAGGAUACAUCCUGCUAUUGGGGAGACCAUGGAUCCACAUGGCUGGAGUCGUCCCUUCUACACUUCAUCAACAACUUAAAUACAUUGUCAACAAUAGCCUAGUCACUGUCAACGCUAAGCCGGAAUGUCCUAAACAAGGAAACCUACCACUCAUCAACUUCAAUUCAGAAGUUGAGCCAACCAGUUUUCAUACUUUAGAAGUGAGCAACACACAAUACCAUCCUAUUGAAUCGACACUUCCCGUACCCAAGAUUUCUGUCGAAGUGAUGGCAGCCACCCAAGAAAUGAUGUCAUUGGGUCAUCAGCCUGGACAAGGGCUGCGUAAAAAUCAGCAGGGUAUUAAGCACCCAAUUCAAAUGUCCAGUCAAACCGGGAUAGCCGGAUUAGGCUAUUCUUCUAGUUCCAGUCAUAGGAAUCCUCAUAAGCACAAGCAGAUUCCUCAAGAUUCCGCCACACAGCGAUUUUCUCCACCUGCACCUCAUGAGCUGAUAUAGUCUCUGGUAAAGGUGCCAACCCAUGUUAUGGCUAUGUUGUUUCCCAAACCAGUACCAUUUAAAGCAAAAGAGGUCUUGAUCCCUGAUUCCGAAGUGGAAGAAAGGGAACGGAAAUGUAAACAUGACAUCGCCUUGAUGAUGUCAGGUAUACGCAUCAUUGUCCAUGAUGAACAUAUAAACAGAUACACCCCAGAUGAUGAUUGCCCAAAUGUUAUGGUCAUCAUUCGGGAAAAAUAGGACAAUGAUAGACCCUCCAUCACUGCAGUCCAUCAGGACUUUACCCUUGACAAUUGGAACAGCACUUCAUGCAUUGGUCGACGAGGGUAAAACGGGCAAAAAUUCCCUAUACCCUAUAGAUAACUUUAAUUUCUUACUUUUUUGUACAGUAUUAGCAGUUAUUUUAUCAGUACAUGCUAACACUUUUGUAUAUUAAACAGUUUCAUAUAUUAAGUGAAAGCAUAUUUUGUUUCAGGACUCUGAAUUUAGAUGUGCUUGUACUUGUUGAUGAGGUGCCUUUUCUCCACAAGGACUGUAACUUUGAUGAAAAGUUGGACUCAGACUUGAUGGAAAUUUAAGAGGACAUUGAGAUACCUCAGGAGAUUAAGGAAUUGGUCAAAGACAAACCAAAGCCUAAUCUUGAUCAAACCAUUUCUUUCAAUCUCGAAACCUUAGAAAGCCCUAAGCUAAUCCAGAUUGGUUCAGACCUAACCCCAAACCAACGAAAUGACAUGGUUGCGCUACUAACUCAAUUCCAGGAUGUGUUUGCAUGAUCUCAUGAAGACAUGGUGGGUUUGUCCACUGACAUUAUCCUUCAUUGUCUUCCCAUUAAAGAGGGAUUCAAGCCAGUUAGGCAGAAGCUCAGGCGAUUGAAACCUGAGUAGAGUUUAAAAGUGAAAGAAGAAAUUAUGAAACAAUUUCAAGUUUGUAUUAUCAUGGUGUCUACAUAUUCGGAAUGGAUAUCCAACAUAGUUCACGUUCCAAAACUAGGAGGAAAGGUGCGAUUUUGCGUGGAUUACUGGGAUCUAAACAGAGCUUGCCUUAAAGAUAGCUUUCUUGUGCCCUUUAUCCACAUUCUCAUUGACAAUACUGCUCAAUAUGGCAUGUACUCAUUUGCGGAUUGCUUCGCGGGGUAUCAUCAGAUUAUGGUCGCUGAGGAGGAUCGUGAGGUAACUGCUUUUAUCACGCCUUCGGGAACUUUCUGCUACAGACGGUUGUCAUUCGGCCUCAUCAAUGUCGGGGAAACGUAUCAGCGAGCUAUGAUGGCUCUUUUCCACGACUUAAUGCAUAAGGAGAUAGAGAUCUACGUGGAUGACAUCAUUGUCAAAUCCGAAAGGGAGGAAGACCACUUAGACAAUCUCAAAAAGCUUUUCAACAGUUUGCGUAGGUACAACUUGAAGUUAAAUCCAGCAAAGUGCUCCUUUGGCGUUAAGUCAGGAAAGUUGCUAGGUUUCCUAGUCAGCCACAAAGGGAUUGAGCUGGAUCCCACCAAAAUCUAGGCCAUCAAGGAAAUGCCCAUUCCUCAAACAGGGAAGGAAAUACAGGGAUUGUGACGCCCCCAAAAUAGGUAUACAUCACCCAUUUUGAGUCGUCAAGAACAUGGUACAGAAACAACUACAACUUAAUUAAUACAACAUAUAAACUGUGAGUUUAAAUACAAAUAUUGCCAUCUAGACAAUAUUCACACCCAAAUAAGUCCUCAUUACAAUUAUUGGUACAUUAUUUUACAAAAAUGGUGAGGACUACUAAGAUAACUUUCUAGAUCCAUCAUUCCACACCCCGACUAGAACUCGCUACAUUCUCGCCUCCUGAGAAGAAAAAUGGAACAAAAAGGAAAAGGGUGAGCUCAACUAGCCCAGUAAAGAAUAUUAUGACUAAGAUAAUAUAGAACAAAUUAUCGUUAGUCUUCAACAGGGAAAAAUCUGAUAAAAUACAAUAGACAACAAGUUUCAGAUCAAUAUUCGCAGCGGAAAUAAUAAUUCAUAGAAGAGUUACGUAGAGAAUGAAAUCUACUAUUAUCUAUGAAUUUAAAAGUCCAUCAUCAAUAUUUUAUCCCUGUAACAUCAAUCAAUAUACAUCUUGAAUCAAAUAUUCAUCUUUGCACUACAGGCCAAAGAUAUUCAUCAGUUGGUCAUGUUCAUCUCAACACCUGUUCAUCUUUGCACUACGGGCCAAAGAUAUUCAUCAGAAAAUCAUUCAUCUUUGCACUACAGGCCAAAGAUAUUCAGUAAUAUCAUCAUUUAGGACUGAGGAUGAUGAAAAAUAUUUUAAAGAAAACGAAUCCAGUGAAACAAAAGAACAAAUAUUAAGGAUUCGUAUUUUAAACAAUCCAAGUUCAAAAAUACUUCAUAAAUAAUCAGAGUGGAGUAAAAUUCAAGAAUGAUCAAAACAUGGAUACAAUCAAAGCUAGUAUCCAUAAUAGAUAUUUUGGACAAAAAAAAAAAUUUUAUUUUUCGGUGAAUAGUGCCGUAUUCGUGAAUAGUGCCGUAUACGUGAAUAGUGACGUAUACGUGAAUAGUAACUCCGACACCAAAAGAUAGAAAUUUCACAAAAAAAAUCUUCACGCUUCGUGAAUAGUACUCGUGAAUAGUAACUCGUGAAUAGUAACUCAUGAAUAGUAACUCAUGAAUAGUAACUCCGACAUGAAAAAGUUCCAAAUUUGAUAAAAAGUUCCAACCAAUAUUUCAGCAUAAUGAUAUUGAAGAAAUAAUAUCAUUUGAGAAGAAAAUAACAUCCCUUACCUCGAAAGACAGUACUUCUAGUUGAAACACCGGAUAUAGGCUAUGACUUGAACUUGCACCGUAUAGCAAUACUCAAAGUAUACUCAAAAUACUCACAAGAAUACGCUCGAUAAUAUAGAGAGAGAAAACUUCAGUUUCUGGUGUGAUUUUCAAUUCUAACCUAAGCACCCUAUUUAUAGGAAAAUGCUUAGAACACCAAAGUAGAAAAUUUAAUAAAAUAAUAAUAUAUAUAUUAAAUUCUCUACGCACACUUCUUGAAUCUGAAAAUCUGCAUUCAACACAUUCAAAUCACAUGCUAGACCCACAAAAAACGUUUUUCAUAUUUAAAUUAUUUUAAACUUCCAAAAAUCAAUUAUUUCGGAGCUUCGGAACUUCAAUAAUUCAUAAUAAAUAGCCCUUUUAUCAGAAAAUUCGAAUCUCGCGAGUUUUUAUAGGAAAUUCAAUUCUCUACAACUUUGCAGAAGAAAGUUUUUCCAAAUUCCAAACAGAAAUUGACCGAAAUCCACAAAUGGGCGAUUUUACAGGCUAUAAUCAAAUUUCAGUCAAUAAAUGGGGUCCACCGACAUGUUUAACAUGUUUUAAACAUUUAUUGCAACAAAAAUACUCUUCCUCCUCGUAUACUCAUAUAUCCCACAUUCGUUGUAAAAAUAUCACCAUUAUUAUAUUAUUAAAAUAUAAUAAUAUAUUUAAAUGAAUUAUUUUAUCGAAAAAGAUAAAAUAUCAAUUUUCAACAAUUGUCACAUUAAAAAUUUUCUCCAUCUAUAUCCACAUAAAAUGAAUAUUUUCCUUAUCAUAUAAAUUAAUAAUUAAUUAUUCAUAAAUAAUAUUACAGAAUCACAAUACUAGCAACCAGACUGUUCCCAGGAAACAGGGGGCUUUCCAAUAAGGAUUUCUCCUUAUUGGCGCGCAAUUAGGUGACCAAACCUCUCCUUAGACAGAACUUUCUAGACAUUACCAAUAAUGUAAUCUAAUAAUAUUAUUCAAAUAAUAUGAAUUAUUGAUCUGAUAAUGAAAAAACUGUGUAGUGACAAAUAUUGAAACAACAAUAAUAUAAAAUAUCAACGUAGCAAUUAUUGAAUCAAUAAAAUAAAAUAUUGAACAGUAACUACUGUAACAAUUAUUAAAUAGUGCCUUCUUAUGUAAGAAUCAAUAAUUGGUGUAAUACCGUGUGCUACUGUGUUUUAACCACCGGGUAUUUUAACAGUAUUAACGGUAACAACUUAUAUUUGUCGUUUUCUUCAUCCAAUCGCUUUCUGUUAUGGGGCCCAAACAAGGCUGCGUCAUCGUACGAAUAUUCCCCGACAGGAAGAAUAUUCCACGACCAAAUGAAUAUUCCCCGACAACAAUGAAUAUUUUAUAACCACUUGCUUAUUUGAAAUAUUUGCGCAUUUUACCCAUAACUAACCACAUUAAUCAAAUCAACCCUUACUAUUUCAAAAUAAUAAAUAGAGGAAGUUUAAUUUCAUUUAUAAUAAGUUGAGGUCUUACAACCUCCCCUCCUUAUGAAAUUUCAUCCUUGAAAUUGACGUAUGUACCUGGUGUUUCAAAAAGGUGAGGAUACCUCGCUUUCAUUUCCGUUUCCAACUCCCAGGUCAUUUCCUCAAUAGCAUGGUUCCUCCACAAAACUGAAUUGUGGUAUGACCUAUAUAAGUAAGACAUGCUCCUUCCUAUCCAAGAUCUUGACAGGUACCUCCUCGUACGUUAAGUCUUCGGCUAUCUCAUCUGAUUCUAACUCAAUAAUAUGGUUCGGGUCUUUAACAUAUUUACGAAGCACAGAUAUAUGAAGAACAUUAUGAACACGAGACAUACUUGGAGGUAACGCGAGUCUAUAGGCUACAUUUCUUACUCGGUCAAAAAUCUGAAAUGGACCAAUAAAUUGUGGAUUGAGCUUUCCUCUCUUCACGGAUCUUGUAACUCCCUUCCAUGGGUCAACACGCAAUAAUACAUGAUCCCCGAUACUAAAUUCCACAUCCUUUCGAUGAAGAUCCGCAUAACUCUUUUGUCGAUCUUGUGCCAUUUGUAUACGUUGUCGAAUCAUUUGGAUCUUUUCUGUAGUAAUACGUACCAACUCUGGUCCCAACAAUGUUGCUUCACCCACUUCAUCCCAACAUACUGGAGAGCGACACUUUCUUCCAUACAAUGCUUCGAAUGGAGCUACCCCUAUACUUGCCUGAUAACUAUUGUUGUAGGAGAAUUCCACCAAUGGUAAAUACUUCUCCCAACUCCCUUUCAAGUCUAGGACACAGAGUCUUAAUAGAUCUUCAAGAGUUUGAAUAGUCCUCUCUGAUUGUUCGUCCGUUUGAGAAUGGUAUGCUGAACUAAAUCGUAAAUCCGUGCCCAUAGCUUUUUGGAAGCUAACCCAAAAUCGUGAAGUGAAUCUUGGGUCACGAUCCAAAACAAUGGAUACUAGCAUGCCAUGCAAUCUCACAAUCUCAUUUACAUACAUACGAGCAAGACGUUCAAGGGAAUAAGUCUCCCGUAUCGGCAAUAAAUGAGCAAACUUGGUUAAUCUAUCAAUAAUAACCCAAAUAGCAUUUACACCUUGAGAAACUGUGGGAAGACCCGUAACGAAAUCCAUGGUAAUGUGUUCCCACUUCCAUUUCGGAAUCUCAAGUGGUUGCAACGGACCCUUAGGUACUUGAUGCUCCGCCUUUACACGUUGACAAGUUAAAUACCUCGAGAUAAACUUUGCAAUCUCUCUCUUCAUAUUGUUCCACCAAAAUGUAUGUCGAAGAUCACGAUACAUUUUGGUACUUUCAGGAUGGAUUGCAAACGGUGUAUUGUGUGCCUCCAUCAUGAUCUUGUUCUUCAAAUCAGAGUCGUUAGGAACACAAAGUCUGGAGUGGACUUGAAGUAUUCCUUCUUCAUUGAUUCUUGCUUCUGGAAUAGCACCUUCUUGUACUUUCUUCUUCAUACGCAUCAGCUCUGGGUCUGUGGCUUGAGCAACUUUAACUUUAUCGAUUAAAGUUGGUUCUAUGCGUAUACUUGAUAUCAUCGCACUCAUUCCUACAUAUGAUCUUCUACUCAACGCGUCAGCUACCACGUUUGCUUUUCCAGGAUGGUAUUGAAUGGUGUGGUCAUAAUCUUUUAAUAGCUCGAGCCAACAUCGUUGCCGCAUAUUGAGUUCCUUUUGGUUGAAGAAAUAUUUGAGGCUUUUAUGGUCUGAAUAUAUCUCCACUUUCUCUCCAUAUAGAUAGUGCCUCCAAAUCUUUAGCGCGAAAACGACUGCUGCCAACUCUAGAUCAUAAGUAGGAUAAUUCCUCUCAUAUUCUUUAAGUUGUCACGAGGCAUAGGCUAUGACUUUCCCAUUUUGCAUGAGAACACAUCCUAACCUUUUGCCUGAAUCAUCGCUGUAGAUAACAAAUCCAUCUAAACUAGAUGGUAUUAUCAAAACAGGUGCCGAAAUGAGUCUCCUCUUAAGCUCUUGGAAACUCUUUUCGCAUUCCUCGCUCCAUACGAAUUUGUAUCUUUUCGAGUCAAUUGAGUUAACGGGGUAGCAAUUCGAGAAAAUCCUUCCACGAAUCUCCGAUAAUAACCAGCUAGGCCCAGAAAGCUACGUACUUCGGUCACGGACUUUGGUUGCUCCCAACUUUGUAUUGCUUCAAUCUUCGCUGGGUCAAUAGAUACUCCAUGUUUUGACACUACGUGCCCAAGGAAUGUUACUUCCUCAAGCCAGAACUCACAUUUCUUCAACUUGGCAUAUAGCUUGUUUUCACGAAGCCUUUGAAGUACCAGCUUCAAAUGGUGCUCAUGAUCUUCACGACUUUUGGAAUAUAUGAGGAUGUCAUCAAUAAAGACAAUAAUGAACUGAUCCAAAUAAUCCUUGAAUACUCGGUUCAUCAUAUCCAUGAAAGCCGCAGGAGCAUUAGUCAAUCCAAAAGACAUGACUAAGAAUUCAUAAUGCCCGUACCGAGUUCUGAAGGAAGUCUUUGGAAUAUCCUCAAUUAUAAUCUUCAACUGAUGAUAUCCAGAACGAAGAUACCUAUUCUUGAUGGUGACAUGGUACAAUUCCUAGUAGUCAAUACAAAGUCGCAUACUCCCGUCUUUCUUCUUUACAAAUAAAAUAGGAGCACCCCAAGGAGUUGUACUAGGACGAAUGAAACUGAUGUCCAACAACUCUUGUAGUUGGACCUUUUAACUCCUGAAGUUUAACAGGAGCCAUUCGAUAUGGGGUUUUAGAAAUGGGCUUUGUACCAGGUUCAAGAUCAAUAAAGAAUUCAACUUCACGUUUUUGGGGUAGACUGGGAAGUUAUUCAGGAAAUACGUCAGGAAAUUUACUAACAACAGGAAUAUUAUUCAAAUCUGACGUGUCUUUAUUCAAAUUCAUAACAUGGGCUAAGAAAGCUUGACAUCCAUUUUUCAAUAAACGAAUAGCUUUAUGACUUGAUAUGACAGUGAUUGAUUUUAAUGGUUUAGUUGCUUGAAUUCGUACAACAGGUUGGUUAGGAAUAUGAAAACUAACAAUGUUACGAAAACAAUCAAUUUUGGCAUGAUGAGUAGUUAACCAAUCAAUCCCUAAAAUCACAUCAAAAGCAAGUAUCUUUAAAGAGAUAAGGUCAACAGGUAAUGUGAUGGUGCCAACUUGGAUCAAACAAGAUUUAUAAACAGUGGAUGUGAUGAAAGUUUCUCCUAACGGAGUUUCCACAGAUAGGUCAAAGUCUAAUUUCUCCGGAGUCAAGUUUAAACGUUGAGCACAAGCAGGAGAGAUAAAUGAAUGGGUAGCACCGGUAUCUAGUAAGGUAUAAACUUCGCAGGAAUUUAUGAUUAGCUUACCCGUGAUCACCUCGUUUGGGUUCCUCGCAUUUUGACCAGUCACGACAAACGCUCUUCCAGGGACCAUUGACUUUGACUUUUUUGGGAUAGCCUUUUGAGUCACCAUCCCUGCUGGACUUGGUUUCGCUACCGUACAAUCUCAAGCGAUAUUUCCUUCUUUUCCACAAUUAUAGCAUACCUUGAACUGUUGUGGGCAGUUUGGGCUGAUAUGUCCCUCUUUUCCACAUUUAUAGCAUACGACCGGUGGUCGUUCUCCUCCCUUAGAACCAGUUGCUGCUGGCGCUGACGUCUUCACAUGGUCGUUGUUGAAUCUCCUCUUUUUAAAAUCUCCUCCCGACUCCCUUCUUUUAUUCUCAUGGCCAUGAUUACCACCAGAGUGGUUGCUGCUUUUGUCCGUAUUUUUCUUUCUCCGCUGGUUAUCGUUGUUCGGAUGACUGCUAUCACCGGUAUGAUCCUGGUUGUGGUCCCUCGGUUGAACGUACUCGUUAUCUCGCUCUAAUAAUUGAGCCCUGUUGACAACAUCUGAAUAGAGAGAAAAUUUAUGAGAAAUGAGAUAUUUACGUAUGUCGGGUUUCAAACAUCUCAGAAACAUCCGCGUCGUACGUUCCUCAUUCUCCACCAAAUGAGGUGCAAACCUGGAUAACUCUGCAAACUUCGCCUCGUACUGGGACACCGUCAUGUUAUUUUGUUCCAAUCUAAUAAACUCUACUUCCUUCAUAUGAUGAUUACUUUUAGGAAAGUACUUGUCAAUGAACAAUUUCUGAAAUGUCUCCCAAGACAUGCUGAGUAUGGCUGGAUGGGUACGCUUCACAGAUUCCCACCAAUAAUCUGCCUCAUUGCGGAACAUAAAGGUGGCGAAUGGAACCUUCUGUUCCUCCGUGCAUCCCAAAACAUCGAAUAUCUUGGUGAUUUUUUUGACCCACAUUUCUUCCUUAAUUGGAUAUGGCUUUCCCCAGAAUUCUGGUGGUCCUAACUCUUUGAACUGCUUGGCUGUGACAAACUGUGCGUUGUUAUCAUUUCCACCGGUAUUUUGUGCACGAGUCUCCCUUGUCUGAUUUUGCAUGAACUGCAAAAAGCUUCUAAACAUUCCGUCGUUCAUCAUCUGCUCAGUGGUGUUGUUCACAGGAGGAACAUUGCCAGCCUGUUGCACGUUCUCCUUGUUGAUGAGUAAAGGUGUCUCCACGGUCACAUUUACUUCACUGUUAACAUUCUCAGUCGACAUUCUCAAAUACUGCCAUAAGACAAGGGUUAAUUAAAGAAAUCAACAUAUCAUAUAAUAUCCCUAUAUACUAACCAACCAACAAAUAAGCUUAGGUAAGACACACUAGCGAAGGUUUUACUCGUCUCUCCCCUCCUAGUUCUAUUCCCCGAUAUCCGCCAGAGAUCAUAUCCCUAAGCUCUGAUACCAACUGUGACGCCCCCAAAAUAGGUAUACAUCACCCAUUUUGAGCGUCAAUAACAUGGUACAGAAACAACUACAACUUUAUUAAUACAACAUAUAAACUGUGAGUUUAAAUACAAAUAUUGCCAUCUAGACAAUAUUCACACCCAAAUAAGUCCUCAUUACAAUUAUUGGUAAAUUAUUUAACAAAAAUGGUGAGGACUACUAAGACAACUUUCUAGAUCCAUCAUUCCACAACCUGACUAGAACUCGCUACAUUCUCGCCUCCUGAGAAGAAAAAUAGAACAAAAAGGAAAAGGGUGAGCUCAACUAGCCCAGUAAAGAAUAUUAUGACUAAGAUAAUAUAGAACAAAUUAUCGUUAGUCUUCAACAGGGAAAAAUCUAAUAGAAUACAAUAGACAACAAGUUUUAGAUCAACAAAUGCAGCGGAAACAGCAAUCCAUUAGAAGAGUCACGUAGAGAAAGAAUUCUACUGUCUUCUAAGGUUUAAAAGUCCAUCAUCAAUAGUUUAUCCCUGUAAUAACAAUCAAUAUACAUCUUUAAUCAUCUUUGCACUACAGGCCAAAGAUAUUCAUUUGUAUCACCAGUUGGUCAUGUUCAUCUCAACACCUGUUCAUCUUUGCACUACAGGCCAAAGAUAUUCAUCAGUUAAUCGUUCAUCUUUGCACUACAGGCCAAAGAUAUUCAUUUAUAUCACCAUUUAGGACUGAGGAUGAUGAAAAACAUUUUUAAAGAAACGAAUCCAGUGAAACAAAAUGACAAGGAUUAAGGAUUAAGGAUUCGUACUUUGUUUUACCCAUGUCCAAAAAUACUUCGAAAAUAAUCAUAUUGGUGUAAAAUUCAAGAAUGAUCAAAACAUGGAUACAAUCAAAGCUAGUAUCCAGAAUAGAUAUUUUGGACAAAAAGAAAAAUUUUUAUUUUUCGGUGAAUAGUGCCGUAUUCGUGAAUAGUGUCGUAUACGUGAAUAGUGCCGUAUACGUGAAUAGUAACCCCGACACAACAAGUUCCAAAUUUGAUAAAAAAGUUCACCAAUACUUCGGCAUAAUGAUAUUGAAGAAAAAAUAUCAUUUAAGAAGAAAAUAAUACCCCUUACCUCAAAAUAACCGUACUUCUGACUGAAUUUCGGUAUAGUGCUGACAGAAACCCGCACCGUAUAGCAACACUCAAAGUAUACUCACAAGAAUACGCUCGAUAAUUUAGAGAGAGAAAGAGAGAAAACUUAGUUUCUGGUGUGAUUUUCAAUUCUAACUUAGCCCUCUAUUUAUAGGAAAAUGUUAGAACGCCAAAGGAGACUAAAUUAAUAAAUUAUUAUUAUUUAAAAUUACAUUUCUACGCAUGCCAUUUGAACACUUCAGCCACCAGCCAACCUUGACCCAAUUUCCAGCAGCCCACAUGUUCAAACAAGAGUGGGUCCCACCCAUUAUUUAAUAAAAAUUAUUUUAUCUUCCGAAACUUCAAUAAUUCGUAGAAAAUAGCUCGUUUAUCAGAAAAAUUCGAAACUCGCGACUUUCCAUGGGAAAUUCCAUUCUCUACAACUUUGCAGAAGAAAAUUUUUCCAAAUUCCAAACAGAAAUUGACCGAAAUCCACAAACGGGCGAUUUUACAGUCUAUAAUCAAUUUUCGGUCAAGAAUUGUGUCCACCGACACACAAAACAUAUGUUAAACAUUUAAUGCCACAAAAUACUCUACCUCCUCAUAUACUCAUAUAUCCCACAUUCAUUAUAAAAAUAUCACCGUUAAUAUAUUAUUAAAAUAAUAUAUUUAAAUGAAUUAUUUUAUCAGAAAAAGAUAAAAUAUUAAUUUUCAACAAUUGUCACAUUAAAAAUUUUCUCCAUCUAUAUCCACAUAAAAUAAAUAUUUUCUUUAUCAUAAUAAUCAAUAAUUAAUUAUUUAAAAAUAAUAUUACAGAAUCACAGUACUGACAACCAGGCCGUUCCCAGGAAAGAGGGGGCUUUCCAAUAAGGAUUUCUCCUUACUGGCGCGCAAUUAGGUGACCAAACCUCUCCUUAGACAGAACUUUCUAGACAUUGCCAAUAAUGUUAUCUAAUAAUAUUAUUCAAAUAAUAUGAAUUAUUGAUCUGAUAAUGAAAAUACUGUGUAGUGACAAUUAUUGAAACAACAAUAAUAUAAAAUAUCAACGUAGCAAUUAUUGAAUCAAUAAAAUAAAAUAUUGAACAGUAACUACUGUAACAAUUAUUGAGUAGUGCCUUCUUACGUAAGAAUCAAUAAUUGGUAUAAUACCAUGUACUACUGUGAUUUAACCACCGGGUAUUUUAACAGUAUUAACGGUAACAACUUAUAUUUGUUGUUUUCUUCAUCCAAUCGCUUUUCGUUAUGGGGCCCACACAAGGCUACGUCAUCGUACGAAUAUUCCCUGACAGUAAGAAUAUUCCACGACCAAACGAAUAUUCCCCGACAACAAUGAAUAUUUUAUAACCACUUGUUUAUUUGAAAUAUCUGUGCAUUUUACCCAUAACUAACCACAUUAAUCAAAUCAACCCUUACUAUUUCAAAAUAAUAAAUAGAGGAAGUUGAAUUUCAUUUAUAAUAAGUUGGGGUCUUACAGGGAUUUUUGGGAAGAAUCAACUUCAUUAGCAGGUUUAUCUCUCAACUCACAGUAACCUGUGAGCCCAUUUUCAAAUUGUUAAGGAAGAAAUCCUCCAUGAAAUGGAACGAUGAGUGUCAGAAAGCCUUCCUUACAAUCAAAGAGCAGCUAGUUAAAGCUCCCAUUUUGGUACCUCCUAUGGAUGGUGUUCCCAUGUUCAUGUACCUGUCCAUUAAUGACAAUGCUAUGGGCUGCAUGCUGGGACAAAAAGACGAUAGAGGCCAAUAACGAGCUAUCUAUUACCUCAGAAAAAGAUUCAGCAGCAGUGAACACAAGUACACUCUGAUUGAGAAGACUUGUUGUGCUUUAGCAUGGGAUUCCAUGAGGUUACAGCAUUACCUCCAUGGUCACACAACCCAUCUCAUAUCCCGCGUGGAUCCUCUCAAAUACGUGUUUAGUAAGACCAUACUAAAUUGUUGGAUGUCCAGAUGGCAGUUGAUCCUACAGCAAUUUGACAUCGUCUAUGUGACGCAAAAGUAUAUCAAAGGUCAAGGAAUUGCGGAUCAACUGUCUGCCGCACCUGCAGGGGAUUUCAAACCCUUGGAAACAUACUUCCCCGAUGAAGGGGUAAUAGCAUUUCAGCAACACCAUCAGUACGAUGCAUGCCAUAUGUGGAAAAUAUAUUUUGAUGGAGCUAUUAACAUGGAAGGCUCUGGAGCUAAAGCAGUUCUAGUAUCCGGUGCGGGGGAGCAGUAUCCCGUCGCCGUCAAAUUGCAGUUUGUCAGCACCAACAACAAAGCUGAGUAUGAAGGCUGUAUCAUGGGGCUAAAACUUGCCCAUUCAAUGGGUAUCAAGAGGUUAACUGCCUUUGGGGAUUCCGAAUUAGUAAUCAAAUAAUCCACUGGAAUUUAUAAAACUAAAGAACUACAUUUGUCGCCUUAACAUCGCCAAUUUUUACAGAUGGCUUUGGAGUUUGAAUAAAUCUCCUUUCUACACAUUCCUCAUAAUAGGAAUGAUUUUACGGAUAAGCUAGCAACAUUGGCCUCCUUGAUUCACAUACCCGACAAGGAAAACAUGCCAAGCAUCACAUUUUCCCUGCAAAAGGACCCAGCCUAUGGGAACUAUGUUGGAGAAGUACUGGAUGAGCUACCUCCCAUCCACAACCCUUGGUAUCAACAUAUCAAGGAGUAUCUGCAAGAUGGAUCUACACCCACUGAGGCAAGCCUGACUGAAAAGAGGCGGAUCCAUCGAAUGGCUAUGAAAUUUUACCUAAGCGAAGAUGCACUCUACAAAAGAGAUGCAGGAUUAGGUCUCCUCAGAUGUCUAAACAAAGACCAAGCUCAGAGGCUCAUGGAUGAGAUCUAUGGUGGAGUAUGUGGCCCACACAUGAGCGGCCCCUUACUUGUUAAGAAAGUACUCAAAAUAGGACAUUAUUGGCUUACGCUCAAAGUUGAUUGUGAUGAUCACAUCAAGAGGUUCUAUCAAUGCCAAAUUCACGCCCCUCCAAAGGAACUCCACAAUAUGAGUUCGACAUGGCCCUUCUCAAUGUGGGGAAUGGACGGCAAUGAAUUUCCAUAGCUUAUCAACUUGGACACCCUGAAAUGGUACUAUGUCUGAGGUUACCAUCAAGCAAAAAUUUUGGCUUUGGAUCAUCAGAUCACCAGUCAUUCCGGCUUUUUAACCCUUUUUACAUACUCUUCUGCCCCUCAAGGAAACAUACACUUCAAACCAGUAGCCUGGUCUUACCUCAUUUCAAACCUUUCAUACAAUAUUGGUUGUCCCCCCAGGGAUUGAACCUUUCACACCUGCACUUUAUCUUGAAGAUGGGAUUAAACUUUUCUACGCUUGCAGUUUGUCUUGAAGACGGGAUCAAACUUUUUCAUACCUACAGUUUAUCCCAAUCAUGGGAUCAAACUUUCUUUUCCACGCAGUAUAGUCUGCACAUUGGAUUCAGACUUCUCUUCGGCUGCGAAUCAUCUUAAGGGGUGAACUACGUCGACCUAAUCUCCCUAAUACUCGGGAGUACGUAGGCAACCAUAUUCUAUAUGGCCCGAUCACAAUAAAAAAAACAAAAACACUUCUACCCUUCUCUACAUAAACAAAAACCACAAAAAUAGUUCUACAUCCUUCUUUAUCAGUAAAGCUUCUACACCCAUUUACACCUUUCAGAUUCAUCGUUGAACCUCUUACACCAGAUUCGAACUACACAGAUCUGAUUAACUCUUCAAUAGGAGUACAUAGGAAGCCAUUUAUGGUUCGGUCUAACCCCCUACCAGAACACAAAUACUUGUCACACGGUACUGGGAUUAAACAUCAAUCCACCAUAUUUCAUUGGCUUCAGACCAAAGGGAUGGAACUACCUAACCUCUCCUCAUUAAUAGGAAAUUCGGCAACCAUCUAAUCUGCGGUUGUGCCUCAAAGAGUAACACCAAUCCAUAAGAGAUGGAAUUAACUGGGCUCCUCCUAAAAAGGAGUAUUGGCGACCAUCUAUGGUGCGGUCAACCUCAGAGAGGAAAAGCCACACUCCUCUCCACAUUUCCAUACAGAAACCAGUCCCAAGACACCAAAGAUGGUAGGGAUACACACAGAUCAAUGAUCCAUUUUGAAAGAUCCUAUGACGUCUCAAUGUCUACAGAUCAAGGAUGAGUUCAGAAUGCAUCAAGAUCACAAGCCCUGAAGAAACAAGCAAAUAUUAAGCAAGUAUCAAGGCACAACUGAAAGGGAAGUGAAUCAAAAUAUAUUUACAUGCCAUAUAUAAUAUAUUUUGAUAUAUACAAUAUGUGUUGUACAUGACAAAAUGGCUAAGCUAGUCUGUGCAGGAAAAUACAAGUCUAUCUACAGAUCUGUGUGUAUGCGGACUAUCAGAUCUAACAUAGCUUCCCUCUCUAAAGAAUGAGGUAAUGCUGCAAGCUCCUGCCCAGUGGUAUCUAUACGAGCUAAGAAAUCUGAGGCUAUCUGCAUAGUGGCAUGAUGCUCAUCAAUGUAUGCACUUAUAUCGGCAAGGAUGCCAGUCGUAAGGGAUCUCACUGAAAUACUGUUUGUGACGGCUACAUCCAGGGCAGAUAGGGCAGUAUCCCGCUCUACAAUCAAUACAUCUCUGGCUGAUCUGGCCUCAUCUUUCUGUAAUAGAGCUGUGUUUCUCCCAUCAAGAGUUGUCAACAUCAAUGCACUAGCCUGAUCUCUCUCAAAGGUCAUCAAAUGUAGACUCUACUCCAGAUACUGUGAUGAAUGUUGAAUAACAGUAGCACUCGUAGUGGGAGAAUCCAUCACAAAUGCUGGCAACCCAGUAGUUAAAUCAUUAUCGAUGGGAAUAUCAGACUCCUCCAUAGUCUACUCAUCCUCGGAAUCAAUCCCCUGCACUAUGGAUACUACCACAGCCGAUGCAGUCUCUGUCUCCAUCCAUGCGGAAUACUCUGCAGAAAAACCCGGAUGACUGAUAGAAAACUCAGCUAGCUCACGCUGAUCCCAAUAGCCAUACAACCUAGAUCUAUCCUCUGCUGAUAAGUGGUGAGAAGUGAAGCGAUGACUCGAUGCCCCCUCAAAAGGAUGGAAGUCCUGGAACUGGUCAAACUAACACAUCACGGCCAGUGGGUGGUAAGUGAUCAUGCCACUCAAACCAGCCAGAGGAAGAUAAUCCAUGCUCGGAGCAUGAGUGAUGAAGCUUUAGGGUUAGCUAAGCCCUGAACACGACAAUAUAUCAAAUGGAUCUCCGAUCCCUGUCAGGAAAGCUGACCAAGAUGCAGCAUCUAUACACUCCGCAGGCUGAAAGGAGUAUGACAUUGCUAUAUCAUGGGUGAAACAAUAUCCAUGCCAUCUGAAAGUGCCAAUCGGUCUCAAGUAUGAUAUAAACCACACGUACAGCAUGACCGAACUUCCUGUAAACACUCCCGUCGGAUAAGUGCAGUAGUGUGUGGCCUACCUCAGAGUCUUUUCUAUAAUCAUCGGUAUGAUGGUGUGACCCUCCCUGAGAGCUCUCACCGCCAUGAUGACUCCUAUGUCUAACUCAUCCAUGUCCCAUGGCAUGUAGACAUACGACAGUAUGCAUAAUAGCAGUACAUUCACUCUGGCCUAAUGCCAAUGAUACUUCGGUGUGGUGAAGUCCCCAAAAUGUCGUGUAUAACUAUCCUCAGAGCCAAAUCUGUCAAAUAAAAAAUGCUGGGAUAUAACGUGGCCGGAUGUGAGCUCAUCCUGCACCACCCCUCCAGCUCGGUCCAGUUCAAGUUGCAAAGGAGGUCUCACAAGCUGAAAUGGCCAAAUCAGGAAUAAAGACGCUACGCGAUUAAGCGGAAUAGCUUGGAAUCCUGGUUGUCACAAGUCAAAAUAUGGUUUCACAUGCCACUCAUUGAUGUUUGCCUAAAUACAAGGUACACUAUACCGAUGAGCUCAAUUUUUGCAAAUCAUACUCGGCAAUGCCUUAAACAGGUCCAAUGCCACCAAAUAAAUGGUUGUACCCCUAAGCAGUUUCCUGGCGAGGGUCACAAUGCUGAUUUCAUUAAUAAAGUACCCCAGCGGGGGUCACAACGCAAAUUUCAUCCAUCCAUGUUCCCCGGCGGGGGUCAUAACGCAAUGCAACUAUUGAUAUACGCAUCAAUGAAGGUCAAAUAGCCGUGACAUGUUCCCCGAUGGGGGUCACAACGCAAUGCAACCAUUGAUUCACACAUUAAUGAACGUCAAGCAACCUUGACAGUUUUCCUAACAGGGAUCUAUCCGGUGAUACACACAUCAGCGAAGGUCAGGCAGCCCUGACAAUACAUACUGUUGGCAGUAACUCCAACAGAACCGUGGUAUAUGCUGGUGACACAAACCAGAGAAGACCGAUGAGUAUCAAUUCUAACCUUGGAGAUAACCCCGAGUUUCGUCCUUGGAGAUAACCCCAAGGAAGGUCGUUGCAGUUCCGGCGAUAACUCCAGAAAUGCUUGUUUCAAAUGCAUGCAGUCAGCUUCAACCUCAAAACUCUCACCGAGCCACUCAUUCCAAAGACCCGGAGCUAACAUCGGGAAGACAGGCACACUUAAAGAUGACCCUACGGAAUUUAAAAUAUUGCAGCAGUCCAAUCUCAAAGAUAACCCUGAGCAACGUCUGCUUUAUCAGCCCAAACAGGAAAUAACCCCGGUAAGGGGAAAAAUCAUCAUUUUUCCACCUCAACCCCCAGCGCUCCAUCUCAACAUCUCAUACAUAUAUUUCUACACAGCAAUGUCCCACAAGAGCCAAGGAAUUCUAAUCCCAAGUAACUAUUACGUAGGGUAGCACACCGGAUAGAAUUUGAAGCUUGAAGACCAUGGGCAUGGUCCCCUCUUCCUGACUUCGUACAACCUCUAAUCCCAUGUUAUUGCGUAACUCUCGGCAAAAGCGGUCCGGAGAAGGUCUUGUACACCUCGUUUGGAUGCUCGGAUUGAAGUUCUGCAAGUUUGAGUGGACAUCACAGUGCACGAAUGCACAAACUUUGAGACGAUGGGACCCGCAGAGCCCGGGGCACCUUGGGCAGCCACAGGUGCAUCUGCGGCUACAACAGGUACACCUGCGGCCACCAGCUCUAUAGAUAUAGAGCUUGGGGUGGCCAUUUAAAAAGAGGAAAAGGCGAGGAAGCCCUAUCAAAUUUGCUCUAUACACACCCCAUAUUGAGUGCUUUCUCAUUUUAGCUCACAUAUAGCUAUAUUUUUACCGGCAGGGGCUGAGUGUUCAUCUAUUUAUAGUCAUAGAAGUCUUCUUUAACAGCCCACUGUAAGCAUUAUUACACAUUAUAAAGCCUUUCUCUUCAUCAUUGCACACACUAUUCUUCACAUUGAGAGUCGUGUUGUGUGUGUAUGCCCGGACUUCGAUCUAUGGUUUUCAUUUCUGUCUAUAUAUAUAUAUAUAUAUAUAUAUAUAUAUAUAUAUGGACUAACAUUAUCGAGUUAAGCCUCAAUUGAGCCUAGACUUAUGUCUGGAGCGUUUAUUUGCUUUUAUAUAUAUAUAUAUAUGAACUGUUGUCGGAUUAUAUCCGAUGAGCCUGGAUUUUAUAUCUGGAGCAUAUCGAAAUUGAGUUUCAUAAGUUGUAACGUAUGUUUAAUACCUACGCAGUGCUAUGUGUGUGUUUGCAUGGCGUUUGGACAAUCGAGGCGGGUUUUGACCUCUUUUUUGACUUUUUGCCUAAAUGUUGGCGAGUUUUGUAAAUUGGGCGAUAACUCGGUCUCCGUAUAUCAGAAUUGAGUCUCGUAAGUUGUAACGCGUGCCAAAUACCUAUGUGGUGCUAUAUGUGUGUUUGCAUGGUGUUUGGACGAUCGAGGCAAGUUUUGACCUCUUUUUUAACUAUUUGCCUAAGUGUUGGCUAGUUUUGCAAACUAGACGAUAACUCAAUCUCCAUAUAUCGAAAUUGAGUCUCGUAAGUUGUAACACAUGCCAAAUAUCUACGCGGUGCUAUGUGUGUGUUUGCGUGGGGUUUGGACGACCGAGGCAGGUUUUGACCUCUUUUUUGCAUUUUUGCCUAAGUGUUGGCGAGUUUUGCAAACUGGACGAUAACUCGGUCUCCGUAUAUCAGAAUAAAGUCUCAUAAGUUGUAACGNNNNNNNNNNNNNNNNNNNNNNNNNNNNNNNNNNNNNNNNNNNNNNNNNNNNNNNNNNNNNNNNNNNNNNNNNNNNNNNNNNNNNNNNNNNNNNNNNNNNUUCGUGACGGUUGAUCGCAUUUAUUAUUUUAUUUAAAUUUCUGAUCCCCCGUGGAGGUGCUUCGUGGUGGUUGAUCAUGUAUAUAUAUAACUACUUAUUGUUUUUCAUAUAAACUGCAGCAUCAUGUGAGCUUAGGAAUCAUGUGAUCACAGAUUCAGUCCACUGAAUCUAGAUUCGGUUCCCGUGAUGGACAUUUUUAGCUGUAAGCAGCUUGUAAAUUAUUCACGGUGUUUGAAUUUCCUUAGAUGGAUAUCAUCCCCAUGAGGAGUUCGACACCUCUAUAUAUUAUUUUCUUGAAGAUGCUUCGUAUCUCAAAAAUAAAAGCAAACAAGUCGAACAUUUAAUAAUAAAAUGGAAGCAUGAAAAGGUCUCAAUUACUAUUGAGCACAGGGUUUGAAAAAUCUCUUUUACAAAACUUCACUGCUAUAUCAUGUUUAAAACUGAAUUUUUCAUACAAAUUCAAACCCUUUGUAUAUAGGUGCGAACGAGGCCUCGCACUACUUUCAAAUAAAUUGCACAUUGAUCCACACACACACACAUUCAUAUAAAAGUGGCGGUCACCGUGGCAACACGGAUGUUAGGGGGUGCCUAACAUCUUCCAUCCGCAUAAUCAAGCCCCUGAACCCAAAUGAAUCUCGGUUUCACAGACCCGUUUAGCAGUGUCACAUCACUGGGUCAAUGUGCAAACCUUUUCUCGAUUGCGUUGGUGCAACCAGUUAAAAACACCAACUGGCGACUAUUACAGUUAAAUCGUAGACAUGAUAUAUGUCAGACCUUUUUCACUUGUUUUUUCAAACAAAUCUCACAUAACAUGAACACCAAAGAACAAGAACAGAAAAGGGACAAAUAAAAAUCCUAACGUCGAUAAUAGACUAACACAUCGUAGUCUAAAUAUGCACUUGAAGAACAUCAAGAGAUAUAUACUGACCGAAAAUUCAAAAAAUAUAUAUACAGACAUGCUCAAGUCGUUAACACCGACCUAAGUGAGAUUGAAAACAUACAAGAAUAGUCCAAAAACGGGGACUAUUUGAGAUUCACUCCUACUAAGUGAAUCUCAAACGGGUUUCUAAGCUACCUUAACUAAAUGAAAAUAUAUGUGCAUGUGAACGUAUAAGGAUUAUUCUAUAUAACUACACAUUCACCUUUCAAACCAUUAAUGCCAACAAUGUGAAGCAAAAUAAAUUUGACAAACAAGAAACUUCGUCUUUCUUUCUAUUUUUUAAAAAACUUUUCAAGAUAUUGCAGAGUUGAAAUGUCAAUUCUAAUCACCAAUGUAUUCAAACUGUGUCACAAUAUAUAUGAUUCAAACAAUAUUGUCCCCCUUCUUAGAAUUUGCUAUGAACCUUCUUAAGGGAAACACCGGCAUAAAGGUCACACAUCUUCCAUAAACACCUAGAUUAGUGGAUUCACAUUACUAACACCAAUAUAACAGAUAAAGAAUUCAUAUUAUCUGGGAAUUUUGUUUUGAAGUCCAUUGAAUAAGCAAAAAAAAAGGAAUUUCCUAUCACUUCAUAAAUAAUAUAUAUAUAUAUAUAUAUAUAUAUAAUACAUGGAAUUAUUUAAUUACCCAUUGACCAUGGACCAUGGUCACUUUAUUUAAUUUCCUUUUCUGGUGUGGAACUCUAGUUCCCAACUUCCCACGCUUCGGAAACCUUCCUGUUCUUUGUCUUGUAUGACUACGAAAGACCCAUAAAACAAAACUUCUGACUAAUAUUUUCUUUUAUUUUGAUAAAUAAUAUUUAAAAAUUCUUGUCAACAGCUUUUGUGUUUGAGGUUCUAAAAGGUGGGAAAAUUGAAUUGUAAUCAUCUUAUAUAUAUGUUUGAGAUUCUUAUGUUAUAAGGCAGGGACUUUUUCUCAAAAUUGAGAAAAUAAAAAUGAAUAGCUUCGAUUACCUAUGUUUCCAGGCUUUCUUAGCAACCGACAUAGUAUUAACCUAACUCCAACCCAAGUUUCUUAAAAACUCCCAAUUUACAAUACAAAUUCCCAAUUUGUAACACAAGGAAAGUGGAAUAAAUUUAAACACAAGGAAUUUUAACAAAAGAUAUAUACUAAGUACUCACUCUAUCCCAAUUAAUAAAGCAAGCAAGCAAGGUAAGGAAAAUAAUUAAUAAAGCAAGCAAGCAAGCAAAUGAGCAGAAUUAUAUAUACUAAGUACUCACUCUGUCCCAAUCUAACUGUCAAAUGGCCACUGCCUGCAUGCUUUGGUGUUUUAAUCGACAAAAACAAUUUCAACCAAUUUGUCCUUGUGUUUGAAUUAAAUGAAAUACACAGUUGAAUAAACACAUGAAGGAAAGCGAAAUAACCAAAAAAAGGAAGUGCCAAUAUAUAUAUAUAUAUAUAUAUAUAUAUAUAUAUAUAUAUAUAUAUAUAUAUAUAUUCAAGUGUUGAAUAGAAUUUAAAAUUUUACCAAAAUGAAGUGUAGAACAACUGUAGAAUCAACUAACGACGAAAUGGGGGCGAAAUGAUGAACUAGACGGUGCACAGGUGGUCGUGAACUGGUGGCAGCCGGCGAACUGGUGGCAGCCGGCAAACUGGGCUUGGAACUAGUGAUUAAUUUGGGCGAAAAUGAUGAACGAGAUUCAAUUGGAUAAAUCAAUUGAGCUAGCUGAGAAUCAAUUAAGAUAUGCUAGCUUAUAAUCAAUUGGGGGAAAUGGCCAAAAUGCGAGGGAAGGAGAAAAUUAAGAGGGCAUGAAAAAAUAUGCUCGUUACCAUCGAACCAGGGUUUAAAAUAUAAGAUUCAUUCUCGACGGCGUUCCCGUCGUUAAUGCCCCCAUCGAUAUUAAGUCAUUCCCGACGGCGGUCCCGUCGCUUAUACCAUUAGUGCCGUCGUCAAUGAGUUUUCCCUCCACUGGGAAAGUCUAGCGCCAAAUAAUAGGGUCAUUACCGACGGUAUACAUUUGCAAUGGCUAGCCCAUCACUAAUGACCUUAUACUCGACGUGGAGUUUGCUGUCGACAAUGGGCCCGUGGCCAAUGCCCCAGUUUGUUGUAGUGUAUGCUUCGAAUCUUGAAAAUAAAAGCAAUCAAGCCAAACAUUAUAAUAAAAUAGAAGUAUCAAAGGCCUCAAUUACUAUUGAGCAUAAGGGUUUGAAAAAAUUCUUUUACAAAACAUCACUAUUAUAUCUUGUUAAAAUGAACUUUUAUACAAAAUUCAAACCAUUUGUAUAUAGGUGCAAACAAGGCUAACAUUACUUCCAAAUAACUACACAUUGACCCACACACAUACACACACACAAACACACACACAUAUAUUCAUAUAAUAGUUUAAUUGAAAAGUUGCAGUCACCAUGGUAACACGGAUGUCGGGGGGUGCCUAACAUCUUCCAUCGCAUAAUCAAGCCCCCAGACCCUAACGAAUCUCAGUUUCACAAACUUGUUAAAUAGUGUCACAUCACUGGGUCAAUGUACAAACCUAACGAUUAGGAGUUGAACUAGUGUCUGAGGAAGCUCAUAUCUUCAAGGGUAUGAUUCUGAUUCUCUUACUCUUUUUAGAUUAAUAAUCAAGCACAAGAAUUAUCUUGGUUUAUGGUUUGUAAGAAAUUUUUAAAAUUCAUUUUUAUUACGCUUCCGCUUCGUUUAUGUGAUUUGAUUACAUAUUCUUGUUUCUAGCAAACCAAACACCUCCCAUCGAGUGCUUGGUUUAUAGUCGUCUAGCCCAACUACUCUGUGAGGGUACACUAUUUUCACCAAGAAUGGACCUGACCAUCUAGAUUUGAGCUUUCUCGGGAAAAGUAUUAGCCUUGAAUUUAAUAAUAGCACUGAUUGCCUUGGCUCAAACUUUCUAUCCAAGAUUUUCUGAUCAUGCCAUCUUUUCACCUUUUCCUUAUAAAGUUUUGCAUUCUCAUAUUCCUGGAGUCUAAAUUCAUCAAGUUUGUUCAAUUGGAGAAAUCUCUUCUCCCUUGCAGCUUUGAGAUCAAAAUUCAAUUUUUGGAUGCCAAAAUGCUUUAUGCUCUAAUUCCAUGGGAAGAUGGCAAGCUUUUCCAUUGAUUAACGGAUAUGGAGACAUUUCGAUAGGAGUCUUAUAAGUUGUCCUAUAAGCCCAAACUGAAUCAUCAAGAUUUAAAGACUAAUCCUUUCGAGUGGGGUUGACAAUCUUCUCUAAAAUUCACUUGACCUCUUUGUUAGAUACUUCAUCUUGGCCAAUUGUUUGGGGAUCAUAUGUUGUGGCAAUUCUUUGAUUAACCCCAUAUUUUUUCAAGGGAGCCCUGAAAUGCAUGUUACAGAAAUGACUUCCCUCAUCAUUGAUAAUCGCACGGGUGUGUCAAACAUCAUGAAUAUAUGUUUCUUCAAGAAUUUCAAAAGCACCUUAGCAUCAUUCAUCAAUAAUGCCACCACCUCAACCCACUUGGAGAGAUAAUCUAUUGCCAACAAGAUGUAUAAGUUGUUGUUUGAUGAAGAAAAUGGUGCAAUGAAAUCGAUUCCCCAAACAUUAAAAUUUCUACCUCCAAUGUCUUGUUUAAUGGCAUUUCAUUCCCCUUAGAGAUGUUUCCCACCCUUUGGCAUCUAUCACAUUUUUGCACGAAUUGUUGGGCAUCUUUGAAUAUGGUAAGCCAGUAGAAUCCAGCUUGUAGUACCUUAGUAGCUAUCCUCUCACCUCCAUAGUGUCCCCCAUACACAGAGGCGUGACACUUAUGUAAGAUAUUCUCUGUUUCACUAUGAGCGAUACAUCGUCUAAACAUCCUAUCCACGCAUUGCUUGAAUAGAUAUGGUUCAUCCACAUAUACUAUUUGAAAUCAUGAAGGAAUUUCUUCUUUUGCUGUCAUGUUAAGUUUGGAUGGAAAAUGUUGCUAACCAAGUAGUUAGCAAAAUCAGCAUACCAUGGACACUCUCUUUUGACUAUAAAAAGUUGUUCUUCCGGGAAAGACUCGUUGAUUAACACUUUCUCUUUCUUAUCUUGACCCGAAUUUUCCACUCAUGAGAGGUGGUCAACUACCUGAUUCUCAGUCCCCUUCCUAUCUCUGAUUUCUAAUUUAAAUUCCUGCAGCAGUAAAAUCCAUCUAAUUAGUCAGGGUUUUGCAUCCUUUUUGGCAAUCAAAUACCGUAUAUCAGAAUUGUCUAUGUACACCACCACUUUGGUCUCGAUCAAGUAUGAAUAGAAUUUAUCAAAUGCAUAGUCUACUGUAAGUAACUCUUUCUCAGUAGUGGUGUAGUUGAGUUGUGCAUCGGUUAGGGUCUUGCUAGUAUAGUAGAUAACAUAAAAUAUAUUCUCCUUACACUGCCCCAAAAUAGGCCCUACUGUGUAGUCAUUCGCAUCACACAUCAAUUCAAAUAGUAAGGACCAAUCUGGUGCCACUAUGAUAGGUGUUGUUGUCAACUUCUUCUUUAGAUGCUCAAAUGAUGCCAGACACUCCUCGUCUAAUUUAAAUGGAACAUCUUUCUCCAAAAAACUACAUAAGGCCUUUAUAAUCUUGGAGAAGUCCUUUAUAAACUGGAGGUAAAAUCCAGCAUGUCCAAGGAAACUACGUACAACCUUUACUAAAUUUGGUGGUGGCAAACUCUCUAAUGUUUAUAAUUUCUCUUUGUCAACCUCCAACCCCUUGCCUGAAACUUUGUGUCCUAAAAUGAUCCCUUAUUAUACCAUGAAAUGGCAUUUUUCUCAGUUAAGCACUAAGUUUGUCUCCAUACAACGUUUUAACACCAUGAUCAAGUUUUCCAAGCAUCUGUCAAAAGAAUCCCCAAAAACUGAAAAAUCAUCCAUGAAGACCUCUACAUUCUAUUCCACUGAGAAGAUGACUAUCAUGCACCUUUGGAAAGUUGUUGGUGCAUUGUAUAGAACAAAUGACAUCCUUUUGAAAGCAAAUGUAUCGUAGGGGAAAGUGAAUGUUAUCUUUUAUUGAUCUUCUGGGGGAAUGACUAUCUGAAUACCCAUCUAGAAGACAAUAAUAUUCAUGAUCUGCCAAUCUAUCUAACAAAUGAUCAAUAAAUGAGAGAGAGAAGUGAUCUUUUCUUGUUGCUUUGAUGAGCCUUCGAUAAUCCACACACUCUCCAUCCAGUGAUAGUUCUAGUAGGUAUCAGUUCAUUAUUUUCAUUUGCUACCAUAGCCAUUUCUCCUUUCUUCGGUACGUAUUGAACUGAACUAACCCAAGAGCUGUCUAAGAUGGGGUAUAUAAUUCAUGCAUCUAACUAUUUCAAAAUCUCCUUCUUAACAACCUCUUUCAUGAUUGGGUUGAGCCUCCUCUGCUGUUCCACUGUAGGUUUGAUAUCAUCCUCCAUCAUGAAUUUUAUGUAUGCAGAAAGAAGGGCUUAUUCCCUUGAUAUCAGCAAUAGUCCAUCCAAUUGCUAUUUUGUAUUCCUGAAGAACUCUAAUCAACUUAAUUUCCUAAAAUGUGGUUAGUGCAGAUGCAAUAAUAACAGGUAAAGUAUCUGAUUCAACUAAAUAUGUAUACUUGAGAUGAAAGGGUAAUGGUUUGAGUUCUAGUGUAGGAGGUACCUCAAGGGAUGACCUCAAACGUUCUAAAGAUUUAUCAGCAUACUCUAAAGGUUCAAAAGGGAUUUUAAACUUGCUCACCCGUGGUACUGCAUCCAAUAACUAUAAAUACUCAAUCAACUCUGGAUCGUCCAUAUUAAUAUCCCCCAUCAGUGUAGUUUCCAAUGGAUCUUUGUUCAUAGUCUUUAAAAAUUCAUCAUUCACUACCUAUACAACCACAUCUACUCGGAAUCAUUCUUCUUCGUCUGAAAGGAAUUUUAUUGCCUUAAAUAUGUUGAAUGUGACCUCCUGAUCCUGUACUCGUAUAGUCAGCUCUCCCUUCUGAACAUCUAUAAGAGUCCUCCUAGUAGCUAGAAAUAGCCUUCCAAGAAUAAUGGGUAUGUUUUUGUCCUCCUCAUAGUCUAGAAUUAUAAAAUCAACUGGGAAGAUGAAUUUAUCCACCUUUAUAAGGAUGUCCUCCAUAAUUCCUCUUCGAUAAGUAACUGACCUAUCUGCAAGCUGAAGAGAUAUGUUUGUAGGCUUUGGUGUCGGCAGACCCAAUUGUGUAUAAACUGAUAAUGGCAUAAGAUUUAUUCUAGCACCCAAGUCGUACAAACACUUACUGAAUGACAUGCUACCAAUCGAGCAAGGUAUGGUGAAACUGGCAGGAUCCUUCAACUUGGGAGGUAGAUUUCUUUGCAAUAAUGCACUAUACUCUUUAGUUAAGGCUAUAGUCUUAAAAUCUUCUAACUUCUUCUUUCUGGACAGAAUACCUUUCAUGAAUUUGGCAUAGCUCGACAUCUGCUCUAAAGCCUCUACAAUUGGUAUGUUAAUUUGUAGCUUCUUGAACACUUUGAGGAAUUUAGAAAAUUGUUUGUCUAUUUUCUGUUUUUGAAGCCUUUGUAGGUACGAAACUGGUGGGAUCGCCCUUGGUGUAGGAGCAACAUGUGUUUUCUCAUUGGUUUCUAUCUGUUCUAACUCAGGUCCUGCAUUUCCUUCAUUUUCCUUAGGAGUUUCUGCAUUUUCUAGAACUAGGGCAGGGCGUAACUACCCUGCUUCCCUUUUUAUUUUAAGCGCAGCUGCGCCUGCUGGCAGUGUUUGUUUUUCUGAGUGUUAUUUCUUGACAUUUCUCUUUCCAUUCUCUCCUUGGAUUAGCCUUUAUGUUACUAAGAAGAGAUCAUUGGGGUCUAUUUGAUAACAUGUUAGCCAUUUGCCCCACUUGAUUCUCCAAAUUCUUGAUAGUUGCAUCUUAUCUUUUUAGCAUCACAUCAUUGUUGGCCAUGAAUUUCGCUAAAAUAUCUUCCAAGUCUGGCUUUCUUUUAGGUUGUGCUACAUGUUGUUGUUGGUCGUGGUGGUUAUGGAACCCUGGGGGAUAGUUUGGUCUUGGAGCUUGUUGAUGGUUUUGGUUGUUGCUCUAUGAAAAGUUGGGAUGGUUUCUAGAUCCAACAUUAUAAGUGUUUUGGUAUGGAUUAGGUAGUCUUUGGUAGCUACCCACAAAUUGGAUUGCCUCAGGGUUGAUGGCACAUUUAUCAGUGGCAUGUGCUCUCGCAUAUAACUUACAUACAAAGGCUACUUGUUGUACUUUUGCUUCAGCAAGGGAGUCAAUAUUCUUUAAUAUAGCUGACAACUGAGAUGCUGGAGUCGUUAUAACAUCUACUUCUAAUACUCCGACUACUUUUUGCUUAUGUAAUCUAGAAGUUGACCAAUUGGUACUCAUUUUUUGUCAUGGUCUCUAUCAACUCAUAUGCAUCUUCAUAAUUCUUGGCCAUGAAUGCCCCUCCAGAAGCUGCAUCAAUGCUAGUCCGAAUGUGACUACCUAACCCAUUGUAAAAUGUAUUCAACUCCAUCCAUUGAGGUAAUCCAUGGUGAGGACAUCUCCUGAGCAAAUCUUUGUAUCUUUCCCACGCUUCAUACAGUGACUCACCAUGUUGUUGCUCAAAAGUGGAGAUGGCAUUUCUCAUUUUGGCAGUCUUUGCAGGCAAAUAGAAUUUUGCCAAAAAAAAUUAUUCCAGAUGGUAAAGAGUGGAGCCAACUCCUUUCUUUGUCUCUCAACGUGAAUGGAAAGAGUCUGAGUCUCACUGCAUCAUCCGUUACACCAUUAAAUUUGAAAGUAUCACAAAUCUCUAAGAAGCUCAAUAGAUGCUCAUUUGGGUCAUCAUUAGCCAAACCCCCAAACUGAACUGAGUUUUGUACCAUUUGGAUUAUGUCCGGUUUGAUUUAAAAGGAAUUUGAAGCUAUUGUUGGCCUUGUGAUACUAGACUGCAACUCAUUUAUCCGUGGCAUUGCAUAGUCUCUCAAUAUCUUUUGCUCUUCUACCGCCAUGACUACUGGUGUUUCAGUUUCUUCUUAAAAAUUUGUAGUGGCCUUACUCAAUCUCUGAUCCCUUCUAUUGAUGUUGUCCUUGGCAGGCACCAAAUUACGCUUCUUGGAUCGAGUUUGCAUACACUAUUCGAGAAUACCUGAAACAAAAGAAAAUAUAAAAAGAAAUAUGUUAAGAAAGUUUUGAUUAACUAAGACCAAUCUAAUUUAAACUGAUGACGAAAGUUAUAAAAAUAAUCAAUAAUCCCCAACAACGGCGCCAAACACUUGUUGGCUUGUUUGGGUAUUAAUCAAAACAACGCACACACGCAAGUGCACGCAGUCAAUAAGUAAUAUACAGUGAGUAGAUUAUUAUUCCCACGGAGAAUAAUGAUUAUAUUUUAUUCUAUAAUGCAAUAGUUUUAUAACUAUCUCUGUGACGCCCCCAAAAUAGGUCCAAUCCAUCCAACCCAUUUUGAGUCGCCAAAUACAUGGUACAGAAAAUAACUACAACUUUAUUAUUACAAUUGUCAUGCAAAAUAUGAUAACACAUAUACUGUGAGAUUAAAUGCCAACUGUGACUCUAGACACCAACUUGUGUCAGCGCCUCACAUUGAUACAUUACAUAAAGGUACAAUCAAUAACUGUUUUAGAAAUUAAAAUCUUUGGGAAGUACUCAACGAAACCUUCAUACAUGGGAGGCUAUGCGUCUAGGUUAUGAUAGAUAUCAUAUGCCAACAGAAUUAUCCUUGGUAGACCCAAUAGACCCCAAAGAAAAACGAGAAGAUUACUAUCAUGUUCUUUCCAAUGGUGAGUCUUCUCUUGACAUAUAACUAUCUCCACUGUCUGCAAUUGAAAAUUAUAUUUCAACUAAACUCCAAGAUCAUAUAGGUAGUGCUCGUAGAUAUACUUAGCAAGUGGAUGUGUACAACCAUGUCUUAUGAUAACACGAGGUUGUAUGUUAUUAGACAUCUUGUAUGAUGGUGGCAAAACACCCUUCCAAAGUUGGGUUCACCUCACCCUGUUGUUGUUCACCAAAAUUAAUUAUUAAGUGACGUAUAAUAUACGACACACACAUCUUAGGUCCUCAAUACAAUUAUAUAUUGUAUGUCAUGCUGUUUUAUAAUGUCUUAGCCCAGUAAAGAAUAUCAUAACUAAAGAUAAUUAAAUUAUCAAUAGCUUUCGUCAGUAAUAAAUCAGAGAUUUAGAACAUAUGGUAGAUGAUAAAACUUUUCAAUCAUAGUUGCAGCGGAACGAGCAAUCUAUUAGAAGAGUCAAAUAGACCAUAAGGUUUAUUAUCUUCUCCAUGUUAAAAGUCCACCAACAAUGUUUUAUCCCUGUAACAUCAAUCAACAGUUUCUGUCCAUAAUCAUGUGAAUAACUCAUAAUCAUAAUUAUGGUUCUAAAUUCCUCUUCUCAUCCCGGACGAAGAUAAUUUUCAUCACCUGUCUUUACUUGAAACAUCAAAGAUCAUGAUUAUACCAAAUCACCGUUCAUGUUCAUAAUCAUACUAAUAAAUUCAUCCUUGCACUACGGGCCAAAGAUAUUCAUCAACAGUUCAUCUAUACACUACAGGCCAAAGAUAUUCAAAAACAGGACAUCUUUGCACUACGGGCCAAAGAUAUUCAUCAACAGUUCAUUUUUGCACUACAGGCCAAAGAUAUUCAAUAAUAGGUCAUCUUUGCACUACUGGCCAAAGAUAUUCAACAACAGGUCAUCUUUGCACUACAGGCCAAAGAUAUUCAUCAAUAAUUCAUCUUUGCACUACAGGUCAAAGAUAUUAAUAUCUCAAAGAAAUACAUAAUCAUUUUAGAAUUUAUAUAAACCAUAAUUAUAACCAUGUUGAUCAAUUCACCUUUGCACUUAAGCUAAAGAUAAUCGUUUAAAAAUUCAAUAGUCGUGAUCAUAUCAGUCAACAAUUCAUCUUUUCACUACUGGCCAAAGAGAACCCAUAGUCACGAUCAUACUAAUAAUCUACUCAUCUUUACACUUAAGUGAAAGAGAAAUUCCAUCACCAGGAUUAUAAAAAUGUUAUAUAUGAUAAAAAAACAAUAUGAUCAAAACAUGGAUUUAAUUUCAAGAGCAAUAUUCAAAAAUCAACGAUAAUUUGGUCAGAAAAAGAAACCAAUUUUAUCGUGAAUAGUACCCCGUGAAUAGUAACUCGUAAAUAGUAACUCAUGAAUAGUAACAUGUAUUCGUACAUAGUACCGUAUACGUAAAUAAUGCCGUAUACGUAAAUAAUGACAUAUACAUGAAUAGUGUCGUAUACGUGAAUAGUGCCAUAUACGUGAAUAGUAACCCCGACACAAAAAGGUAGAAAUUCCACAAUAAAAUUCAUACCAAUAUUUCGGCAUAAUGAUAUUGAAAGAAAAAAUAUCAUUUACGAAGAAAAUAACAUCUCUUACCAUCCAUUACUAUCCCUUACGAUCCCGUACCUCAAAAGAGUAGUACUUCUGACUGGAAUAUUGGAUAUGACUCUGAAGGAAACUUGCACUGAUUAGCAACUCUCAAAGUAUCAAAAUACUCACAAAAUACGCUCGAUAAUAUAGGAAGAGAAACACUACUACAAAAUACUAAAUAGACAAUACUUAAACCACAAUGUUUUUUAUAAAAAUGUUGUGAUAAUUUUUUUCACAACUUUUUAAAAAAAAAACGUUGUAGAUAUAUAUGAAACGUUAUCUAUUUAAGGUUAUAAAUUUUUUUUUAAAGAAAAUGUUAUGUAUGUAAAAAAACACGGAGGUAGAGUCGGGUAAUAAAAAAAAACAUGGAGGUCUUCAUUCGUCCCUUCUCCUUUUCGAACUCCUCACACCCUAACUCCAUUAUCUGAUUACAAAGAAAAAUGGCGAAGAAUCUAAAGUCUUUUUCGUCGGUUGACAUAGCAAUGUCAAGAAACCCUCUUUCUCUCUCACACUCAAAACACACACACAAAUAGUUUUUGUUGAUGGAAUGCUGCCUUUCAUACAACAAUCCCUCCGUUUUGAAAUCGUUACCUUCCUCGGUGAAGAUUCGAUUCUCUUCUUCUGUCUCCACGACCACCAUCGCCUAUAAUCGCCGUCCGACACAAUAUUACCUCAAAAUCCCUAAAACCCCAAUUUCUUCCUAUAGAAUUUCGUCACAGGAAAGACAGAAAAAUCGUUGAGGGAAAGAGAUGGAUCGCAUGGCAGCUGCAGAAGAACGAAUCGUAACAGAGAGAUUGAGGUAGAAACUCAACGAAGUGAACUCUGCUGCUCAAACCCAACUCUCGCCCAUCCAAGACCAUGUCAAAGUCACCCUCCAGGUCCUUCUCUCUCUCUUCCCUAUUUUUUCUCUCUGUCUCUCUCUCUCUCUCUCUAUAUAUAUAUAUAUAUGUUUCUUUUUUCUCUAUGUAAAUAAUGGGUUGUGAAUUGAGAAUUGAAAAAGACCCAUUAAUUGAGAAUUGGAAUAUCAUGAAUUUGCUGGGUUUUGUGUUUCUUAGCUUGAUUCAUCUUUUUAUUGGUGUUUCUCGAAUGUUUGGUUAUGCACAGAUGAAUACAGGGCUAGUUUUUAAUUAUAUACAGUUUUGCAGUUAUUAUAUUAUAAGGCUACUUUAUUUAUUUGUUGGUUUAUUUCUUCGAUUGGAUUGUAAUUCUAUUAAAUUGGUCUGGACGUUGUGUUGUAUGGCUCUUUGGUUUCUUGAUUGUUGCAACUGCAACAGUCUUAUUUAGGAGACGGAAGAGGUAAGACAAGUCCCUUUGUGCCCAUUGUGAAAUAGCUGUGAGGAUUUAAGCCAUAGGGUUAAUUCACCUGAUAACCACUAAACAAAUGUUAGAAGAUAGAUCACAACCAGUUAUAGACAUGGAACCAGCAUAUGUUAGCUCCAAUGGAAGCAGCAGUCAGCCUUACUUGUUUUUAGAUUUAAUUGAAUCUUUAUGUUACUUGUGUGGCAUGGGUGGGUGUUUAUAUAGUGUGAGUUACAAUUAAAACUGUUUCUGAGAAGUAUUUAUGUCACUUUUGCUGGACAGGAAGUUACUCUUUAGCUUGAUCAAUGAACUGCCUACUGUCUUUGAAGUUAUAACAGAAAGGAAGAUGGUGUGCUAUUUUAUCAACACUAUUGAAGUAAUGCAAGGUUAAAGAAGUUAUUGAUGGCUUUCAGAUCUUCAUCUCAUAUGCUUGACUGGCUUGGUUUUAGUUGUGGUCUCCUUAUGUUUAGAGAUUUAAGUUGAUCCUUGAAGUUGGAUUGUAGCUUGGGUUCAAGACUUGUUCAUUUGACUGGCCUAUCUUGUAGUGUUCAUUUGUUAUUGGAUGGAAAAAAAAUUUAAGUUUUGUGAAUAACAUGUAACAGUACACAUUCAUCCUUGACUGCAGUUAGUAAGGACAUUGACGCCGAAGGAGAUUCAGUCCUCACUCGCAUGCUUCAAGCUGUCGCAGUUCUUGUUAUUGGAAAUGUUUGUCAUGUUUUUAUGCAUGGCCUUAACCACGUUCAGGUAGUUUGAAUUUUCUGAAAAUCUCAUCAAUAAUUUUGGUUUAACAUCAUCUUAUUUAUCAAAAACUAAAAUAAAAUUGAAUUACAGGUCUAUGGUGCAGAGAAACUACACAAAGCAUUGCAUCAUAGACCAAAGAACAAGUCUCUUAUUACGGUACUGUCGCCCUGUUCUGUUGAGGGUGUGUGAAUGCAUUUUCUUUGCUUAUUGUUAAAGCUUGGUUGUUCUUUUGAACUUGACCUUUAAGUAACCCCCAACUUCCUAUCCCACAUUUUGGAUAAUACUCGUACAAAUUGCAUCCAGUUAUAUAAUAUGAGUGAUAAUUCAUAAAAAUUUAGGUUGUUUAUUCCUUUUGGAGGUGUAUAUGGUCCUCUAAUUUCAGCUAUUUCUGUGGAUCCUGGUUACUAAUGAAUAUUCUAUUAGCUUGUUGUUUCUAGCAAAGUUCAUGGUUGGUAGUUAUUAAUUUUAUACAUGAUUCGUGGCUUUAUCUGUCCAUUAUGUAAUUCAGCUUCUACAUAUACAGUGGUAAUCAUGAGCGUGACUGGCCUGGGACAGGAUCCUUCUAUGAUACUGUAGAUUCGGGUGGGGAAUGUGGCGUGUUAGCUGAAACCAUGUUCUAUGUUCCUGCAGAAAACAGAGCAAAAUGGCAUAUAUGCGAGUAGUAACAUUCUACUUUUCUUCGAUGGCAUUGGUUGAUGCCCUGUGGUUUAAAGACUCUAAACUAACAAAUAUAAUUUAAUGAUUUAUAGACAAAGGACUGCGAAAUAAGUUUACUGGCAAUAGAUCAGAAAAGAUUCUGCAGCUACUGACCUUUCUUUCUACUUGUCAUCUACGUAAUAUAAUUUUUAUUUUCCAGAAAAUUGGAGUUCCAAACUGGAAAUUUCUGUAGCGUACUCCAUCAAUUAAGGUCUCUGUAUUUCCUUUAGUUGACAACAUGCAUUUGUAUCUAUUUCAAUAAUUUGUAAAUUACAUACAAUGUACUAUUUUCUGACUAUUAUAUUUCGUCUCCUCUGCAGAUCUGUCAGGAAGAUUAUAAAUUUGGACAGAUCUGCAGAUCAUUUAUGCUUGUAUUGUACAACCUGCACAUCAUUUAUGCUAGGAUUAAUUUCUUCUCCUGAACUUUUUUUGGGUUGUUUUUUUUAAACAAUUUCGCAGUUGUUGCUCUUUUGUUUAGCUUCUCUCUUGCAGAAAUUUUGUCCCUAAUGAUAGAUUUUACAACACAUACUGUGGCUUAAAGAAAAAGCUUUUAGUCGUUUUUCUUUUUGCAUGAUAGUAAUUUUGUUUUUUCUUACAGGUUAUUGCUGGUAGUUUGUGGGACUGUCACUGCAACAUUUGUCUAUUUAAUAGCAGGCUUGUAGUCAAGCUUGAUAUUCAGGUAGGCAUCAUCUGUUGGCAUCUGUGAUAACAAAAUGUUUUUAAAUGUUAUAACAGUUUAUAAAUGUUUGGCAGCAGCACUUCGCUGCAAACAGCAGCAAGAAGUGUGUCGCAGCAACAGAAGCAGUGUAGUAGAAGCAAUAGAAGCAGUGUAGCAGAAGCACAGAGGCUUCUCUCAAGAAUUUAUUAGUGCUAGAGCAAAAGUUAUUGCCAUCCAUGGCUAGUGCUAGAGCAAAAGUUACUAACGUAUUUUUGGAGAAUACACUGUAAAAAAAGUGAAUAGUUUGGGAGAAUACGCCAGUAGUUUUUUGGUUUUGGAUUUUAAAAAAAGUUACUGGUUUGUCUUUUAGUUGAUAUAUGCAAAAAUUAGUUGCACAUGCUUAGGUAGUAGCUUAAUUUUCUGGAUAGUUUGAUUUAUUUUGUGGAUUGAAAAGUGAAUUUGAGAUGUUUGUAUAUAUGGAUAGUUUGGUAUAUAUUUUGUGGAUAUAGUAAUUUGAAAUUGUAAACGAAUGAUAUUAUUGGGAUGUAUUUUGAAUGGUUGAUACAUUUUGGCUUGAAAUAUAAAUGAGAAUUUAGACCUUUUAGCUAUAUAUCAUGGCAUUAGCAUAUUGCAGGUGCAUUGGUAAUAUAGGUGAACCAUAACAUUUUUUUUUCUUUAUCUACAACAUUUUAAAAAUGUUGUAUAAAUUGGUUAGAAACGUUGUCUUAUAUACUAAACAAUAACAUUUUUAACCAAAAAACGUUGUGGAAUCAUACCUUCUACAACAUUUUUAAGCAUCUGCUAAUUUUUUGAAAACAAAUCUACAACGUUUUUUUCUAAAAAAUUUGUGUAUUGUGCUUAACCACAACGUUUUAAAAACGUUGUGUAUUGUGCUUAACCAUAACGUUUUAAAAACAUUAUGUAAGGGUGUCAAAUAGAUAACACCCGUAAUCAUGACGUUUUUCUGACUGAUACACAACGUUUUUUUCGCGUUGUCUAUUUACUGUUUUGUAGUAGUGAAAACUUAUGUUUUGGUAUGAUUUUCAAUUCUAACUCAGCACCCUAUUUAUAGGAAAAUACUAGCAUGUCGAAGCAGACUUGACCUGCUACCUGAUGGCUUUACCUACUACUAUUGCCACCCACCACAUUUGAAAUAAAAUUUGAGCACAUUUCUCACCAACCAAAAGUGGACUCCACUCAUUCUAGAAUUUUUCACCAAAAAUUAUUUAUAAACAUAAUUUUCGAAUCAGUCACCUCUUAAAAUUCAUAACAAAUCAUAUGUUAAUUUUUAACGGUUCAAAAUUUGUGGACAUAUACUCAACUUAUAUAUGUAUAUCAUAUCCAAAAAUCACAAUGAUCCAACGGUCGGAUUAAAAAUUAUAACUCUUGCAAUAUAUCUCAAGAACACUGAUUUUUUGGAUUAUGAGUCCUUCGAACCAGUUUCAUUCAAACAGUCACCACGAAAAAUUCACAAUGAAUUUUUGGGUGAUUCCAAUUUUUAUUGUUAGCUUACUUCCAGGGCGUUGUUUUGAUAUAUGGCUCAUCUCCUAACUCAUUAUACACAAAGAGUUAUAGAUUUUACAAAAUCAAGUAAUAAACUAAUUUUUCUGAAAAUCCCAUAUUUUGUUCUUCUUUUCGACAAAAUACUAAUAAAACACCUCAGCAUUAAUUUCUUCAUUUAUAUCCAUAUAAAAAUAUAUAUAUCCUUAUCAUAUAAAUUAAUAAUUAAUUAUUCACAAAUAAUAAUACAGAAUCACAAUUAUGACAACCAGACCGUUCCCAGGAAAGAGGGGGCUUUCCGAUAAGGAUUUCUCGUUAGUGGCGCGCAAUUAGGUGACUAAACCUUUACUUGACAGAACUUUUUAGACAUUUCCAAUAAUGCUAUCUAAUAAUAUUAUUCAAAUAAUAUGAAUUAUUGAUCUGAUAAUGAGAAAUACUGUGCAGUGAUAAUUAUUGAAACAACAAUAAUAUAAAAUAUCAACGCAGCAAUUAUUGAACCAAUAAAAUAAAAUAUCGAACAAUAAUUACUAUAAAAAUUAUUGAGUAGUGUCUUCAUACGUAAGAAUCAAUAAUUCAAAAAUACUGUGCAAUACCGUGUGCUACUGUGCAACCACGCGUAUUACUGUAUUUUAACCACCAGGUAAUCCAACAGUGUUAACGGUAACAAUUACGCCGUUAUUUAUAAAAACUCAAACUUGUCGUUUUCUUCAUCUGACAGUUAUUCUGUUAAGGGGCCCGUCGUACGAAUAUUCCCCGACAACAAGACUAUUCAAUGACCUAUUCCCCGACAACAAUGAGUAUUUUAUAACCACUUGCGUAUUUUAUAAACUUUACAUAUAUCACCCUUAACUUUAACUUUUUAUCAAUUUAACCAUUUACUGAAUAAUAAUUAUAAAAAAUUAAAUACUUUUAUUUCAUAAAAUUCGGGGUCUUACAAUCUCCCCUCCUUAUGAAAUUUCGUCCCUGAAAUUUACGUACCUGGUAAUUCGAAGAGAUGAGAAUACCUUGCUUUCAUUUCAGAUUCCAUCUUCACUGUCCUCAUGAUUUCUCCAUUGCUCAUCUCCUGUAUUUCAGAUAUCAUUCUAGAAUAUAGCUUCAAAAUAAAGGUUAACUGACAUAUCAUAAUUUGUCAACUAAUUAAGUAAGAAAUUUCAGCUUAGAUAAGUCACACUAGCGAAUGAUUUACUCAUGUUUCUCCUCCUAGUUCUAUUCCCGGAUCUCCGCCAGAGAUCAAAUUCCUAAGCUCUGAUACCAAAUGUGACGCUCCCAAAUUAGGUCCAAUCCAUCCAACCCAUUUUGAGUCGCCAAAUACAUGGUACAGAAAACAACUACAACUUUAUUAUUACAAUUGUCGUACAAAAUAUGACAACAUAUAUAUUGUGAGUUUAAAUGCCAACUGUGACUCUAGACACUAACUUGUGUCAGCACCUCACAUUGAUACAUUACAUAAAGGUACAGUCAAUAACUGUUUUAGAAAUUAAAAUAUUUGGGAAGUGCUCAAGGAAACCUUCGUACAUGGGAGGCCAUGCGUCUAAGUUAUGAUAGAUAUCAUAUGCCCACAGAAUUAUCCUUGGUUAACCCAAUAGACCCCAAAGAAAAACGAGAAGAUUACUAUCAUGUUCUUUCUAAUGGUGAGUUUUCUCUUGACAUAUAACUAUCUCCACUGUCUGCAAUAGAAAAUUAUAUUUCAACCAAACUCCAAGAUCAUAUAGGUAGUGCUCGUAGAUAUACUCAGCAAGUGGAUGUGCACAACCCUGUCUUAUGAUAACACGAGGUUGUAUGUUAUUAGACAUCUUGUAUGAUAGUGGCAAAACACCCUUCUAAAGUUGGGUUCACCUCACCCUAUUAUCCUUCACCAAAAUCAAUUAUUAAGUGACGUGUAAUAUACGACACACACAUCUUAGGUCCUCAAUACAAUUAUAUAUUGUAUGUCAUGCUGUUUUAUAGUGUGUUGAGAAGCUUUGACAGUCUCGGACAAUCACCCUAUUCCCCUGUUAUCCCCGCUCGACCCAGCUACACUCUUAUUACCUGAAAGGAAUUGUGAAGCAAAAGGGUGAGCACAAAUAGCCCAGUAAAGAAUAUCAUAACUAAAGAUAAUUAAAUUAUCAAUAGCUUUCGUCAGUAAUAAAUUAGAGAUUUAGAACAUAUGGUAGAUGAUAAAACUUUUCAACCAUAGUUGCAACGGAACGAGCAAUCCAUUAGAAGAGUCAAAUAGACCAUAAGGUUUAUUAUCUUCUCCAUGUUAAAAGUCCACCAACAAUGUUUUAUCCCUGUAACAUCAAUCAACAGUUUCUGUCCAUAAUCAUGUGAAUAACUCAUAAUCAUAAUUAUGGUUCUAAAUUCCUCUUCUCAUCCCGGACGAAGAUAAUUUUCAUCACCUGUCUUUACUUGAAACAUCAAAGAUCAUGAUUAUACCAAAUCACCGUUCAUGUUCAUAAUCAUACUAAUAAAUUCAUCCUUGCACUACGGGCCAAAGAUAUUCAUCAACAGUUCAUCUAUACACUACAGGCCAAAGAUAUUAAAAAACAGGACAUCUUUGCACUACGGGCCAAAGAUAUUCAUCAACAGUUCAUCUUUACACUACAGGCCAAAGAUAUUCAAUAAUAGGUCAUCUUUGCACUACUGGCCAAAGAUAUUCAACAACAGGUCAUCUUUGCACUACAGGCUAAAGAUAUUCAUCAAUAAUUCAUCUUUGCACUACAGGCCAAAGAUAUUAAUAUCUCAAAGAAAUACAUUAUCAUUUCAGAAUUUAUAUAAACCAUAAUUAUAACCAUGUUGAUCAAUUCACCUUUGCACUUAAGCUAAAGAUAAUCGUUUAAAAAUUCAAUAGUCGUGAUCAUAUCAGUCAACAAUUCAUCUUUGCACUACUGGCCAAAGAGAACCCAUAGUCACAAUCAUACCAAUAAUCUACCCAUCUUUACACUUAAGUGAAAGAGAAAUUCCAUCACCAGGGUUAUAAAAAUAUUAUAUAUGAUAAAAAAAUAAUAUGAUCAAAACAUGGAUUUAAUUUCAAGAGCAAUAUUCAUAAAUCAACGAUAAUUUGGUCAGAAAAAGAAACUAAUUUUGUCGUGAAUAGUACCCCGUGAAUAGUAACUCAUGAAUAGUAAUUCGUGAAUAGUAACUCAUGAAUAGUAACUUGUAUUCGUACAUAGUACCGUAUACGUAAAUAGUUCCAUAUACAUGAAUAGUGCCGUAUACGUGAAUAGUGCCAUAUACAUGAAUAGUAACCCCGACAUAAAAAGAUAGAAAUUCCACAAUAAAAUUCAUAACAAUAUUUUGGCAUAAUGAUAUUGAAAGAAAUAAUAUCAUUUACGAAGAAAAUAACAUCCCUUACCAUCCCUUACAAUCCCUAACCUUAAAAGAGCAGUACUUCUGACUGGAAUAUUGGAUAUGACGCUGAAGGAAACUUGCACUGAUUAGCAACUCUCAAGGUAUCAAAAUACUCACAAAAUACGCUCAAUUAUAUAGGGAGAGAAAACUUAUGUUCUGGUGUGAUUUUCAAUUCUAAAUCAGUACCCAAUUUGUAGAAAAAUGCUAGCACGCCGAAACAGACUUGACCUGCUACCUGAUGGCUUUACCUGCUACUAUUGCGACCCACCACAUUUGAAAUAAAAUUUGAGCACAUUUCUCACCAACCAAAAGUGGAGCCCACUCAUUCUAGAAUUUUCCACCAAAAAUCAUUUAUAAACAUAAUUUCCGAAUCAGUCACCUCUUAAAAUUCAUAACAAAUCAUACGUUAAUUUUUAACGGUUCAAAAUUUGUGGAUAUAUACUCAACUUAUAUAUGUAUAACAUAUCCAAAAUCCCAACGAUCCAACGAGCGGAUUAAAAAUUAUAACUCACGCAAUAUAUCUCAAGAACACUGAUUUUUUGGAUUAUGAGUCCUUCGUACCAGUUUCAUUCAAACAGUCACCAAGAAAAGUCCACAAUGAAUUUUUUGGGUGAUUCCAAUUUUUACUGUUAGCUUACUUUCAGGGCGUUCUUUUGAUAUAUGGCUCAUCUCCUAACUCAUUAUACACAAAGAGUUAUAGAUUUUAUAAAAUCAAGUAAUGAACUAAUUUUUCUGAAAAUCCCAUAUUUUGUUCUUCUUUUCGACAAAAUACUAAUAAAAUACCUCAGCAUUAAUUUCUUCAUUUAUAUCCAUAUAAAUAUAUAUAUAUAUAUAUAUAUAUAGACUUAUCAUAUAAAUUAAUAAUUAAUUAUUCAUAAAUAAUAAUACAGAAUCACAAUUAUGACAAGCAGACCGUUCCCAGGAAAGAUGGGACUUUCCGAUAAGGAUUUUUCGUUACCGGCGCCCAAUUAGGUGACCAAACCUCUCCUUGACAGAACUUUCUAGACAUUGCCAAUAAUGCUAUCUAAUAAUAUUAUUCAAAUAAUAUGAAUUAUUGAUCUGAUAAUGGGAAAUACUGUGCAGUAAAAAUUAUUGAAACAACAAUAAUAUAAAAUAUAAACGCAGCAAUUAUUGAACCAAUAAAAUAAAAUAUCAAACAAUAAUUACUAUAACAAUUAUUGAGUAGUGCAUUCAUACGUAAGAAUCAAUAAUUCAAAAAUACUACGCAAUACCGUGUGCUACUGUGCAACCAUGCGUAUUACUGUAUUUUAACCACCAGGUAAUCCAACAGUGUUAACGGUAAUAAUUACGCCGUUAUUUAUAAAAACUCAAACUUGUCAUUUUCUUUAUCCGACAGUUAUUCUGUUAUGGGGCCCACAAAAGGUUGCGCCGUCGUACAAAUAUUCCCCGACAACAAGAAUAUUCCACGACCAAACAAAUAUUCCAUGACAACAAUGAGUAUUUUAUAACCACUUGCGUAUUUUAUAAACUUUACAUAUCUCACCCUUAACUUUAACUUUUUAUCAAUUUAACCAUUUACUGAAUAAUAAUUAUAAAAAAUUGAAUACUUUUAUUUCAUAAAAUUCGGGGUCUUACAAUCUCCCCUCCUUAUGAAAUUUCGUCCCCGAAAUUUACGUACUUGGUAAUUCGAAGAGAUGAGAAUACCUUGCUUUCAUUUCAGAUUCCAUUUUCCCUAUCCUCAUGAUUUCUCCAUUGCUCAUCUCCCUAUUUCAGAUAUCAUUCUAGAAUACAGCUUCAAAAUAAAGGUUAACUGAUAUAUCAUAAUUUGUUAACUAAUUAAGUAAGAAAUUUCAGCUUAGAUAAGUCACACUAGCGAACGAUUUACUCAUCUUUCCCCUCUUAGUUCUAUUCCCGGAUCUCCGCCAGAGAUCAUAUCCCUAAGCUCUGAUACCAAAUGUGACGCCCCCGAAAUAGGUCCAAUCCAUCCAACCCAUUUUGAGUCGCCAAAUACAUGGUACAGAAAAUAACUCAACUUUAUUAUUACAAUUGUCGUGCAAAAUAUGACAACACAUAUACUGUGAGUUUAAAUGCCAACUGUGACUCUAGACACCAACUUGUGUCAGCACCUCACAUUGAUACAUUACAUAAAGGUACAAUCAAUAACUGUUUUAGAAAUUAAAAUCUUUGGGAAGUGCUCAAGGAAACCUUCGUACAUGGGAGGCCAUGCGUCUAAGUUAUGAUAGAUAUCAUAUGUCUACAGAAUUAUCCUUGGUUGACCCAAUAGACCCCAAAGAAAAACGAGAAGAUUACUAUCAUGUUCUUUCUAAUGGUGAGUCUUCUCUACAGUUCAUCUUUACACUACAGGCCAGAGAUAUUCAACAACAGGACAUCUUUGCACUACAGGCCAAAGAUAUUCAUCAACAGUUCGUCUUUGCACUAUAGGCCAAAGAUAUUCAAUAAUAGGUCAUCUUUGCAAUACGUGCCUAAGAUAUUCAACAACAGGUCAUCCUUGCACUACAGGCCAAAGAUAUUCAUCAAUAAUUCAUCUUUACACUACAGGCCAAAGAUAUUAAUAUCUCAAAGAAAUACAUAAUCAUUUCAGAAUUUAUAUAAACCAUAAUUAUAACCAUGUUGAUCAAUUCACCUUUGCACUUAAGCUAAAGAUAAUCGUUUAUAAAUUCAAUGGUCGUGAUCAUAUCAGUCAACAAUUCAUCUUUGCACUACUGGCCAAAGAGAACCCAUAGUCACGAUCAUACCAAUAAUCUACCCAUCUUUACACUUAAGUGAAAGAGAAAUUCCAUCACCAGGGUUAUAAAAAUAUUAUAUAUGAUAAAAAAACAAUAUGAUCAAAACAUGGAUUUAAUUUCAAGAGCAAUAUUCAUAAAUCAACGAUAAUUUGGUCAGAAAAAGAAACCAAUUUUGUCAUGAAUACUGUCCCGUGAAUAGUAACUCAUGAAUAGUAACCUGUAUUCGUACAUAGUACCAUAUACGUAAAUAAUGCCAUAUACAUAAAUAGUGCCAUAUACAUGAAUAAUGUCGUAUACGUGAAUAGUGUCAUAUACGUGAAUAGUAACCCCGACAUGAAAAGGUAGAAAUUCCACAAUAAAAUUCAUACCAAUAUUUAGGCAUAAUGAUAUUGAAAGAAAUAAUAUCAUUUACAAAGAAAAUAACAUCCCUUACUAUCCCUUACAAUCCCGUACCUCAAAAGAGCAGUACUUCUUACUAGAAUAUUGGAUAUGACGCUGAAGAAAACUUGCACUGAUUAGCAACUCUCAAAGUAUCAAAAUACUCACAAAAUAUGCUCGAUAAUAUAGGGAGAGAAAACUUAUGUUCUGGUGUGAUUUUCAAUUCUAACUCAGCACCCUAUUUAUAGGAAAAUGCUAGCACGCCGAAGCAGACUUGACCUACUACCUGAUGGAUUUACCUACUACUAUUGCCACUCACCAUAUUUGAAAUAAAAUUUGAGCCCAUUUCUCACCAACCAAAAGUGGGGCCCACUCAUUCUAGAAUUUUCCACUAAAAAUUAUUUAUAAACAUAAUUUUCAGAUCAGUCACCUCUUAAAAUUCAUAACAAAUCAUACGUUAAUUUUUAACAGUUCAAAAUUUGUGGACAUAUACUCAACUUAUAUAUGUAUAACAUAUCCAAAAAUCACAACGAUCCAACGGUCGGAUUAAAAAUUAUAACUCACGCAAUAUAUCUCAAGAACACUGAUUUUUCGGAUUAUGAGUCCUUCGUACCAGUUUCAUUCAAACAGUCACCACGAAAAAUCCACAAUGAAUUUUUGGAUGAUUACAAUUUCUACUGUUAGCUUACUUCCAGGGCGUUCUUUUGAUAUAUAGCUCAUCUCCUAACUCAUUAUACACAAAGAGUUAUAGAUUUUACAAAAUCAAGUAAUGAACUAAUUUUUCUGAAAAUCCCAUAUUUUGUUCUUCUUUUCGAUAAAAUACAAAUAAAACACAUCAGCAUUAAUUCCUUCAUUUAUAUCCAUAUAAAAAUAUAUAUUUCCUUAUCAUAUAAAUUAAUAAUUAAUUAUUCACAAAUAAUAUUACAGAAUCACAAUUAUGACAACCAGACCGUUCCCAGGAAAGAGGGGGCUUUCCGAUAAGGAUUUCUCAUUACUGGCGCGCAAUUAGGUGACCAAACCUCUCCUUGACAGAACUUUCUAGACAUUGCCAAUAAUGUUAUCUAAUAAUAUUAUUCAAAUAAUAUGAAUUAUUGAUCUGAUAAUGGGAAAUACUGUGCAAUGAUAAUUAUUAAAACAACAAUAAUAUAAAAUAUCAACGCAUCAAUUAUUGAACCAAUAAAAUAAAAUAUUGAACAGUAAUUACUGUAACAAUUAUUGAGUAGUGCAUUCAUAUGUAAGAAUCAAUAAUUCAAAAAUACUGUGCAAUACUGUGUGCUACUGUGCAACCACGCGUAUUACUGUAUUUUAACCACCAGGUAAUCCAACAGUGUUAACGGUAACAAUUACGCCGUUAUUUAUAAAAACUCAAACUUGUCGUUUUCUUCAUCCGACAGUUAUUCUAUUAUGGGGACCACAAAUGGAUGCGUCGUCGUACGAAUAUUCCCCGACAACAAGAAUAUUCCACGACCAAAUGAAUAUUCUCCAACAAUAAUGAGUAUUUUAUAACCACUUGCGUAUUUUGUAAACUUUACAUAUAUCACCCUUAACUUUAACUUUUUAUCAAUUUAACCAUUUACUGAAUAAUAAUUAUAAAAAACUGAAUACUUUUAUUUCAUAAAAUUUGGGGUCUUACAAUCUCGGUCUACUUAAACAGAUGAUCAAAUUAUAUCUUAACUAUAAUAAUGCUAAAAAUAAGAAAAUAGACAAGUAACAAGUAAAAUAGCCAAAUAAGGGGAAUAUGAGGUAUAUGAUUUCACUUAAUGCUUCAUUCAAGAAACUACACUUCCUUUUAAGCUCGGUUAAUUAUUCUGGUUUGUUAGUAGAGAACACAUAAGGGAGAUAUGACCCUCUCGAUGUACCAUACCCGUAUUACAUUAAAUCCACAAAAGAUAGAAUAAAUGUAAACACCCAAAUUGACUAAUGCAUUAUAUGUCUAUGUGAAUUACAAUCAAAGCGAGUUGAAGCUCAAGUAAUCAUUAGACUACAUAUGAUGCUUCGGUAUAUGUCUAUCCUAGACACGAAACAUAAAUUCUAUCUUAGUGUAGAAUCCAUGAACAUAUGCUAAUAUGAUUAGUUCUAAGCCUAUAAUCCAUUUUUCAAGUUCACAUAGAUUAACAUGGUAAUUGGUGAUCAAGCAAUUAAACAUUUAAUGCAAAUCACAUUCGAUAAACUAAUAUAGAUAAUCAACCAAAGCUCAUAAGGAAAUAUAGAAAUCUGAACUACACAUUAAGAUUCAUCAUAACCCCAUAAUGGAAAUUAGUUCAUAUAUAAAUCAAAAUCCAUCAAUAGAGAUUGUUCAUACAUUAGAAGCCAAAAUGAAAAGAAAGAGAUACUAAAGAAUAAGAUGAAAAUCUGAUCUCCUUCUUAAAUCUGAGCAUACAAUGUUGGAUCCAAGCUCCAAUGUUCCCAUAAUCUAAGCUAACUAUGAAAAUUGAUAUAAAAACCUAAAGAGAUUCUAGUAUAGAGAUGAAUAUGCUAAUACUCUCUCUCUUGUUAGAAUUUGUGCCCUAGAGGCCAAUUAUUUGAUAUAAUUGCUUAACAUUUUGAUAUUAUAUUUGAUUGAAUAAAUGAAUAGUUUUAUUAUGGUUUUAUUUACUGCGUUAUAUAAAUGUUAACAUAAUAAAAUUCCUUAGAAUAGUGAUACAAAUUAUAUAGUUUCAAGUAUGUGACUUGAACAUGAGAUUAUGUAACUAUAAUUAGUAUCAUUAUUCUUAAAAGUCCCUAUUCGAGUGUCAUUGUAGAUGGGACAAAAAUGAUGCAUUGAGAAUAGUAUGUGGAUUGACUGAUGAUCAAAUCUUAUUGAUCAUAAAUAUAUGAGAUAUGAAGUCAAUGCAUAGGUAUAUGUUAGAGAACGAUGUACUGGACAGACCCACCAUGAGAAUUCUACGUGGAACAGUAUACAAAGUGUCAUUAGCGAUUCUCAUAGUGACAAUGAUGAAAUGGUCCUCCGACCUGAAAUCACUAUAUUACUACAUGGGAAUUUAUGUACUUUGAUAUCAUCAAAUGUCACCUUUAAUAGGGUGGACUAUAAAGAUGAUUAUUGGGUACAUCAUGAAUCGUGUGAGGAAUAUGAGUGAUCUAGAUGGAAUUUAACCCUACUGUAUAUUAGGGGUGAUAUCCAUAGGCCUCUUGAUUGAGUAGGACUAUGAAAUGCAUGGCCAUGCUCAAAUAGUGAUUUGUUUCAUAUAGUCUACUCAUUGAUCAAGAAAACACAGAUUAAAUUAUGAAGAGUAUAACACAUUCCAUGACUUGAGUUUUAUCUAGGAUGUCAAGGUUAAAAGGAUUAAAUUACAUUGAAACAUUGGUCACGAAAAGGUUGCAUCAAAUCAUCGAUCUUAUUAUUACUUGGGUAGAAGUGAUGCAUUACUAGAUGCCGCUCACUGUUUAUAAUUUUAUAAUAUGAUUUUAAAAUUAUUGCCAACUUAAUAAUAACAUAUAGGGUCACACACAUAGAACGUUAUUAAAAAGGAAAUUCAUUUAAAUUGUAAGGAUUUAAAUAUAUCAAUAAGAUUGAUAGUAUUUUAAAUCAUGAAUUUAAAUUAAAAAGGAUAAAUUGUAUAUAUGUAUAUUAAUUAAGUAAGACUUAAUUAAGAUAUAUAUAUAUAUAUAUAUAAAUUCCAAUUUUAAUAAUAUUAGGUUUUGAUUAAUUCCUCCUAACUUCUAUAUAUAUAUAUAUAUGAUAUAUAUCAGUCACUUUAGGGAUUACGUCAAAAUACAAAAUCCUAGCCGCUCUUAGAGAGAGACUAGAGAAAACAGUUUCAAAAAUCCUCAUCCUUGGUGGCUAGUACCGCGAUUCCUUCUUCUGCAGAUCGUAGGACGAUUCGCGGAGCGUUUGUGUGGAUACCGUAGAGACGCAGUUCGUUUGAAUUGCGUUGGAUAUUCGACCGCAACGAUUCUAGCUUUAAUAAUCGGUAUAAUUUCUAACCUCUGAGUUAAUUGAUUUUUCGUAUGGAUCCUGUUUAGAGUUUCGAAAUUGCUUUUAAAUUGUUCUUUCCGCUGCGUUUAAUGUGUCGAAACCCUUCAUCUUUGUGCUCUAUAUAAAUGAAAUAAAAACGUCCUAAUAUAAUUCUACUAACUUCUUCUGACCCGAUCAGCCUGACCACCGCCAGGGCGGGAGACCCCCCCUUGGACNNNNNNNNNNNNNNNNNNNNNNNNNNNNNNNNNNNNNNNNNNNNNNNNNNNNNNNNNNNNNNNNNNNNNNNNNNNNNNNNNNNNNNNNNNNNNNNNNNNNNNNNNNNNNNNNNNNNNNNNNNNNNNNNNNNNNNNNNNNNNNNNNNNNNNNNNNNNNNNNNNNNNNNNNNNNNNNNUUCAAUAAAUUCUAAUGCAAUAUUCUCUUCUCAUCUAAAUCCCCUCGAAUGUAACUCGAGGUUUCUUUAUGUCAUGUAAUAAUCUAUAAUCAAUGAAGAUGUCAAGAUGGAGAACACGAUGGAAAGAUGAUGAUGGAGAGGAGGCACAUGUAUGAGGAAGAUCCAACGAAGCUACUAUUUUGAGAUCUUUUACCACCUUAGAUUGACCUUCAAUCUUUCAUUAGCUUGAAAAGAUUGACAGUGGAUUGGGCCAUAACUGUGACACAUUUAAUUUUGCACUUUAUUUAUGCUUGUAUGCGAUAUGAUAUGAUAAAUAAUGUGCAUGCUUAAUAAGAUUAAAAAAUUGGUGAGAUCAAAAUUUUUAUUUAUAAAAUCCCUCAUUAAAUUAUUAAGUCUAAAUCAGAUGCCUUCCAAUGGAUAACAUUCAUCAAGACCUUGAUCAAUAGAUGUAGGUUUUCCAAAGCAAAGUACCCUAUUUAUCUAGGUAAGAUGCGAUAGGAUAAUUGUGAUAUCCAAACUGUUAAAAUCAUUGGGCCCAACUUAACUAAGUUAUCUCAAUAGGAUUGUGGACUUAGAGGCAUAGAGUUUGGUAGGUACCAUUAGAUGGACUAGAGACAAAUGUUGUUUAACAAACUAUCCAAGAGUUAUAUAUGAUAUAAUUGACAAAAGGGUUCUCUACCUAAAUAAUUGUAUUUUAAGAGAUUAGCCAAAGCUAACUUAAGUCAUAAUGAAAUAUGGAUCUUGGCUCACUAGAAAGAUUUAAUAGAAAAUGCUUUCCGAAUUAAUGGUGAGGGCUAUUAAUUUGAAUAAAAUAGUGGGAGGUAUAUUUUGAAUGUAUUAUUAUCAAUUACAUAAUAUCAACUCUGCAAUUUGGCUUAUUAUUUUGGCACUUAUAAAUGUUAGAUAUCAAUAGUAAACAACAACAACAACACAAGUAGUCUUUCACUACAAUCAGUCCUUGAGAAGGACAAGCUGAGUGGAAUUAAUUUUCUUGACUGGCACAGGAAUGUGAGGUUUAUCCUCAGACAAGAGCGCAAGCUAUAUGUCCUUGAUGGGCCCAUUCUUGCAGCACUAGCUGUCACUGCACCACGUGCGGAGCAUAAUGCUUACAAGAAGCAUCAAGAUGAUGCUCUGGACGUGAGUUGUCUCAUGCUAGCAACCAUGAACGCUGAGCUUCAGAAGCAACAUGAGUUGAUGGAUGCUUAUGAGAUGAUCGAGCAUCUCAAGAACUUGUUCGAAGGGCAUGCUCGACAGGAGAGGUAUGAUAAAAGUAAGGCGUUGUAUCACUUCAAGAUGGGUGAACGUGAUCCAGUUGGUCCACAUGUGCUAAAAAUGAUUGGGUAUAUUGUGUACCUUGAUAGGUUGGAUUUUCUAAUCACUCCAGAGACCCAAACUGAUCUUGUUUUGCAAUCUUUGAACAAUAGCUACUCUCAAUUUGUUAUGAAUUAUCUAAUGAAUUAAAUUGAGAAACCACUUACUUAGUUGUUGAGCAUGUUAAGAACUGCAGAGAACAAUAUGAAAAAGGCAGGACCCGCUCCCAUAAUGAUGGUGCAAAAGGGGAAUACUAAGGGAAAAUGGAAAGGCAAGAAAAAGAUAGGAUCUAAUUCUGGUGCCAAACCUAAUUCCAAAACCAAACAGGCUUUAAAACCUAAAGGUGGGGUGGCUAAAGAAGGUGAUUGUCACUUUUGUGGAAAACAUGGACACUAGAAGAGGAAUUGUUAUGCUUAUUUGGAAGAAGUGAAGAAAAAGAAAGGAAGUGUGACUUCUGAUUCAGGUAUAUAUGUUAUAGAAGUCAACUUAUCUACUUCUACAUCAUGGGUAUUGGAUACUGGAUGUGGUUCUCACAUUUGUGUUAAUGUGCAGGAACUUCGAAGGAGUAGGACUUUGGCAAAAGGAGAGGUUGACCUACGAGUUGGGGCUGGAGCAAAAGUUGUUGCACUGGCCGUAGGAACUUAUCAUUUAUCUUUUCCCACUGGGCUAGUAUUAGAAUUAGAGGAUUAUUAUUAUCUGCCUACUAUAAGCAAAAACAUUAUUUUUGUUUCUUGUUUGGACAAGAAAGGUUUUUCAUUUAUAAUUAAGAACAAUCGUUGUUCGUUUUACUUCAAUUAUAUUUGCUAUGGUGUUGCACAAUUGUUUAACGGUCUUUAUAUUCUUGAUUUAGAAAUGCCUAUCUAUAACAUAAAUACAAAACAAUUUAAAUCAAAUGAUUCAAAUCNNNNNNNNNNNNNNNNNNNNNNNNNNNNNNNNNNNNNNNNNNNNNNNNNNNNNNNNNNNNNNNNNNNNNNNNNNNNNNNNNNNNNNNNNNNNNNNNNNNNNNNNNNNNNNNNNNNNNNNNNNNNNNNNNNNNNNNNNNNNAUGUAUUGUAUGUGGACCCAUGAGUUCAUUAGCAAGAGGUAGGUUUUAUUACUUCAUUACAUUUACUGAUGAGUAGAUAUGGAUAUGUGUAUCUUAUGAGACACAAAUUCGAAUCCUUUGAAAAGUUCAAGGAAUUCAAGAAUGAAGUUCAAAACCAAUUUGGCAAAAGCAUAAAAGCCCUUUGAUCCGAUCGAGGAGGUGAAUACUUAAGCCAAGACUUUGAUAACCUUCUAAAGGAGUGUGGUAUUAUAUCACAGCUCACUCCACCUGGAACACCACAAUGGAAUGGUGUAUCUGAGAGGAGAAAUCGGACCUUGUUGGACAUGGUACGAUCAAUGAUGAGUCAUGCAGAUCUUCCAAUAAGCUUUUAGGGUCAUGCCCUAGAGACAGCUGCAUUCACACUUAACUGUGUUCCUACAAAGACGGUUCAGAAGACACCAUAUGAGAUGUGGACUAGGAAAUGUCCUAGUAUGUCGUUCAUAAAGAUUUGGGGUUGCGAGGCAUUUGUAAAACGUUUAGAUUCUCACAAGCUUGGACCCAAAUCUGACAAAUGUAAUUUUGUGGGAUACCCAAAAGAAACAAAAGGGUAUUAUUUCUACAAACCUUCUGAGAAUAAAGUGUUUGUUUCUCGAACUGGUAUUUUUCUAGAAAGAGAAUUUGUCUCUAAAGGAAACAGUGGGAGGAAAGUAGAACUCGAAGAAAUUUGAGAACCACAAAAUAUCAUUGAACCUAAGUUGGAACAUGAGCAGGAACCACAAGAAAUUGUGGAAAGUGAACCUGCUCAAACUACACAAGGAAUUCGUAGAUCUGGUAGGACACGCCAAGAGCCCGAGAGAUAUUAUGGAUAUCUUGUGACUCAAAACGGCGAUGUGAUGCUCAUAGAUCAGGAUGAGCCUGCUUCCUACCAAGAAGCUAUGAAUGGACCAGAUUCUGAGAGAUGGCUUGAAGCCAUGAGAUCUGAAAUGGAGUCCAUGUAUACUAACCAAGUAUGGACUUUGGUUGAUCCACCUAAAGGGGUAAAACCAAUCGGGUGCAAGUGGGUUUUCAAGAAGAAAACUGACAUGGAUGGUAAUGUACAAACCUACAAAGGCCGACUGGUAGCAAAAGGUUACAAGAAAGUUCAAGGUGUUGACUAUGAUGAAACCUUCUCUCUAGUGGCAAUGGUUAAAUCCAUUAGGAUCUUACUUGCUAUUACAGCUUUUUAUGAUUACAAAAUCUGGCAGAUGGAUGUCAAAACUGCUUUCCUUAACUGAAAUCUCCUUGAGGAUGUGUACAUGACACAACUUGAGGGUUUUGUCAAUCCAAAGGAUGCUGAAAAGGUAUGUAAGCUACAACGAUCCAUUUAUGGAUUGAAGCAAGCAUCUCGGAGUUGGAAUCUUCAAUUUGAUGAAGCAGUCAAAGAGUUUGUCUUUAUUAAAAAUGAAGAUGAACCUUGUGUAUAUAAGAAGGUUAGUGGGAGUUGCAUUGUAUUCCUGAUAUUAUAUGUUGACGAUAUAUUAAUUAUUGGGAAUGACAUUCCUUCAUUAUAGGCUGUAAAAAAUGGUUAGAAAAAUGUUUUUCCAUGAAAGAUUUAGGCGAUGCAGCCUACAUUUUAGGUAUCAGGAUCUAUCGAGAUAGAUCGAGAAAAAUGCUCAGCCUAAUUCAAAGUACAUAUACUGAUAAAGUGCUAAAACGGUUCAGCAUGCAAGAGGAAAAAAGAGGACACUUACCCAUGACUCAUGGUGUAAAGAUCUCUAAGGCCCAAUGUCCCAAAUCACAAGAUGAUGAGGAGCGUAUGAGAAAGAUCCCUUAUGCUUUGGCAAUUGGAUCUAUCAUGUAUGCAAUGAUAUGUACUCGUUCGGAUGUCUCGUAUGCUUUGAGCAUAACGAGCAGAUACCAGUCGAAUCCAGGUGAAGGUCACUGGACAGCAGUCACGAAUAUCCUCAAGUACCUAAAAAGGACUAAGGAUUCAUUCUUGGUAUAUAGAGGUGAAGAUGAACUGGCAGUAAAGGGUUACACAGAUGCUAGUUUCCAGACUGACAAUGAUGACUAUAAGUCUCAGUCAGGUUUUGUAUUUUGCCUUAAUGGUGGUGCUGUUAGCUGGAAGAUUUUGAAGCAAGAGACAGUAGCCGAUUCUACAACAGAGGAUGAGUAUAUUGCUACUUCUAGUGCAGCCAAGGAGGCUGUAUGGAUUAAAAAGUUCAUCACUGAACUUGGUGUUGUUCCAACCAUUAUUGAUCCGGUUGCUCUAUACUGUGAUAAUAAUGGAGCCAUUGCACAGGCUAAGGAACCCAGAUCUCACCUACGAUCCAAGCAUAUACUUAGGCGGUACCAUCUCAUCCGUGAAAUCAUUGAUAGAGGAGAUGUACAUAUAGGAAGAGUGCCAACAGAAGAUAAUGUUGCAGAUCCACUGACCAAGGCUUUGUCGCAGUAGAAGCACGAAGGUCACACUAGUUCCAUGGGUAUUAGAUACAUGAGUGAUUGGCUCUAGUGCAAGUGGGAGACUGUUAGAGUUUGUGCCCUAGAGGCCAAUUAUUUGAUAUAAUUGCUUAACAUUUUGAUAUUAUAUUUGAUUGAAUAAAUGAAUGGUUUUAUUAUAGUUUUAUUUACUGCGUUAUAUAAAUGUUAACAUAAUAAAAUUCCUUAGAAUAGUGAUACAAAUUAUAUAGUUUUAAGUAUGUGACUUGAACAUGAGAUUAUAUAAUUAUAAUUAGUAUCAUUAUUAUUAAAAGUUCCUAUUCGAGUGUCAUUGUAGAUGGGACAACAAUGAUGCAUUGAGACUAGUAUAUGGAUUGAUUGAUGACCAAAUCUCAUUGGUCAUAAAUAUAUGAGAUAUGAAGUCAAUGCAUAGGUACAUGUUAGAGAACGAUGUACUGGACAGACCCACCAUGAGAAUUCUAUAUGGAGCAUUAUGCGAAGUGUCAUUAGCAAUUCUCAUAGUGACAAUGAUGUAAUGGUCCUCCGACCUGAAAUCGCUAUAUUACUACACGAGAAUUUAUGUACUUUGAUAUCAUCAAAUGUCACCUUUAAUAGGGUGGACUAUAAAGGUGAUUAUUGGGUUCAUCAUUAAUCGUGUGAGAAAUAUGAGUGAUCUAGAUGGAAUUUAACCAUCCUAUAUAUUAUGGGUGAUAUCCAUAGGCCUCUUGAUUGAGUAGGACUAUGAAAUGCAUGGCCAUGCUCAAAUAGUGAUUUGUUUCAUAUAGUCUACUCAUUGAUCAAGAAAACACAGAUUAAAUUAUGAAGAGUAUGACACAUUCUAUGACUCGAGUUUAAUCUAGGAUGUUAAGGUUAAAAGGAUUAAAUUACAUUGAAACAUUGGUCACGAAAAGGUUGCAUCGAAUCAUCGAUCUUAUUAUUACUUGGGUAGCAGUGAUGCAUUACUAGAUGUUGCUCACUGUUUAUAAUUUUAUAAUAUGAUUUUAAAAUUAUUGACAACGUAAUAAUAACCUAUAGAGUCACACACAUAGAAUGUUAUUAAAAAAGAAAUUAAUUUAAAUUGUAAGGAUUUAAAAUAUCAAUAUGAUUUGUUAGUUCCCGGAGGCACAAUAGUUAUCUAGAAGGGGGGGUUGAAUAGAUAUUUAAAAAUCUUUUCGUUUUACUUAGUUAGUUGAUAAUGAUUUAAACACAGCGGAAUUAAGGUUUCUUUAAAACUCCCUUUUAGAUAGAGUUAAUGAGAGUGAGGCAGUUAUAGCAGUUAUAACAAGAAUGAAAUAGACACAGUUAUUUUUAAGUGGUUCAGAGCACUUAAAGCUCCUAGUCCACUCUUCUACUCCUCGAGUAGGAAAUCCACUAAGGAUGUCUUUAACACUUUCUGAAUCUCUCAGAUUCCUUCUAGACCAGCAGUCUAGUCACUUCUUAGUUCACUCUUGAACUCUUCAAGUCCAGCAGACUUGGUUCUUCAAAAUUCAGUUAAAACUCUUCAAGUCUUUCUGACUUGGAUCUCUUACUUCAGUUGAUUGGUAGUUGUUUAUUUCGUGAUUGAUGCUACUCAGUUUCAGUUAAGCACUUGUUCGAAAGAACUAAGUAGCUGAGCAAGCUUCGUCUUUUUCUCAGAUCGUAGAAGUGAGCAUUGAGUGUUCUUGUGCAUUUUUGUUCAAUGCUUGCUUAGUUUUCUCAUCUGCAUAUGUUCUGCAUAUAUGUGAUCCUUGAAAUCUAUCCGUUGAAGCCUUUUGUUGAAGCAUUAAAUGCAUUUGAUAUUUCUGAACUUUGAUGGAGACUUUCCUACACACCUUCUGAAUUGCAUUCUGGCCCACUGACACAGCAGACUGCUUUCUCACCUAACACCUGAAAAGGUGUUUUUCCUCUGUCCUAUGGUCCUUUCCUUAGCUUCUUGAAUACGCUCCUUUUGUUGAAUACUAAGAAUAUCUUUUGUACCAUUGGGACUGGAGAGGACUUCAACGUUUCAAACCCAUUCCACUUUUGUUAGAAUUUGUCUUCAAACAAAAGUAGGGCUCGAUACUUCUGACAUAAGGCAGAUGAUACUCUACGAUCCAUAUUGUGGUGUCUUGUCACAUUGGUGCUUGGUCUGAAGAGAACACUACGAUCUUCACUUGCGCGUCUUGCAGACUCUACGUUUCUGAAAGCACACUACAAUCUUUGAGUUAGCUUCGGCAAACGUCUGGACCACUCUACAAUUUCUGGAGAGGCCCUUCAAGGCAGAUACACUACGAUCUUCUAAUCUCUACGAUCCUGCCUUAGCUUCUGCAAUCUGUUGAUCAGCUUGAUAGACUGCAAUUCUUUUCAAGGCCUAUCUAUUCCUUUCAAGUCAUAGAUCAACCUAACAUCUUUGAUCUCUUUAUCUAUACAUUUGUUUAUUGAAUGAUGAACAUUAAAAGCUAAGAUCAACCUAACAAAUUUGAUCUAUCACUAAGUCCUUGUACUUAUAUUUCUUGAAGGACUUUACAUAUAAUCAUGAGCAUUAACUUUAAACAUCAAAUCAAAAUAUGCAUUCUUCCAACACUCUCCCCCUAUUUGAUGUUGACAUAACCAAGGAGAUUUGUUGUCAUGAUUAUCAAGUUAAUUGUAGAUGCAUUUUUAGGAAAGUAAACAUGACUUAAUAUUUCAGUGAGCAGCUGAAAUUUCUAGAGAAUAAGCAUGAAUUUAUUGACGUUUAAAGGAUAGAUAUUACAGUUAAGCUUUACAUCAAUAAGAAUUUACAUUUCAACUUAUCUCUAUUUCUUUGAUCUUUUUCGUGGAGGAUUGGUAUACUCCUCAGCUCUUCUUUUCCUACUUGCUUCUUCUCUUCUGGCUAGAUCUUCCAGGUCACUUGGGCUUAUCCUGGGAUUGUGAUCAUGCAUGUUCAUGAAUGCAGGAUCUCCAAUUGGCAUUCUUAGGCCUGUGGUUGUCAUCUCAUGAGAGCUGGGAGAUGGCCUUUGACUUCUUAACGGUUGAGCCAUUAAAACUUCCUGCUGAUCAGAUCGUUGAGUAUCAGAUCGUUGGGUCUGAUGGCUGGAUCAUGGAGUCUAUUGUAAUUUCCUUGUGGGAGGAUUCCUGGAAGUUUGAGCAGAAAAGGUGCCUCUACCUCUGCCUCUUCCUUGAUCUCCUUUUCCUUUAUUCUCCCCCUUUAUGUCAGCAUCAAGGGUUCAAAUGUCUUUUGAGAUGUGAGUCACUCCUUGGACAAUCUCGUUGAGUUGACUCUGAGUUUGAGCGAUGUCCUCUCGAUUUUCUUUGAUCAGAGCAUCAGAUCGAGCUUCCCGUUGUUGAAGAAUAGCUAGUAUAUUGUCAGUCUGUUAUCCUUGGCUGACGUAAAUUGUUGGAACUCUUUUACGGCAGUUUGCAGAUUGAGGAAGUUCUCCAUCAUUAGUUUAUUUUGAGCUUCCUGAGUGGACUGGAGGACAAGAACAACAUCUCUGUGUCUUUUGGCUGCUAGAAAGUGAAUGUCAUCCCUGUCUUUUAUGCUCUGAAUCAUUUCCUUGAUGAGCUCUUUAAGUUUCUUAGAGAGCGUAGAGCUUAGGGAGCUUGGGAGACUAUUUGUAGCAUUGAUCAUUGAUGUUAAUCUCAUCUGAAUGAGUUCAGUAUGUUCUUCAAGACUCUCAUCGAGUUCCUUGAUCACUUUCUUGGACAUUGCUGACAAAUCAACUUUGGUGGGCAGCUCUAACAGAAGUUCAUUGAGUUGGGGAAUUUGAGAAUGAGGGGGUGUUCUCUGGUAUUGAUAUUGUAAUGAAUAGAGGGCAAGAUCAAGGUUGAAGUAUUCGUUGCUAGAUGAGGAAGGAAUGUCGGAUGGAGGGACCUGUGUUUGGGUGUUUAGAGUAGCUGGCUUUACAAUUUGAGCUUGGGACUACAGUGGGGCUAGAGUCAGUGAUCGUAGAGAUGAUGGGAGGUGGGACCAAUAUAAAGUUGGGCAUAUUUGGUUCGUCGGUUACAGAAUUUUGGGAUUCUGUAACUGGGAAUUGACUUGGUUGAUUGAGGACCACUUCCAGCUAGCUUGAAAAUUCAAAAAAAAUUGGCUAGGAUAGUGGGCAGUGAUUAACUCUGAAUAAGAUCGGGAUAGUUAAUACCUCAUGCACCAUUCUUAAGGAGGGACCAUUUGUGAGUAACUUCUUGGAAAAGUUAAAACUUCCUGGGAAUCCAUGAGCUAUCAGAGAUGGCUGGAUAUUCUUUGAUGCUCCAAAAGAUGUGAUUCCAGGAGUUUAGAAUUUGAGCUUGAUGGAAAGGCAUCAUGGAUAGAUAUGAAAAUAGUCGCUCAUAGUUAGUUUUUCUAUACCCAUUAAUGCCCACAGCUAUGAUCUCGACCUCGUCAUCUUCGUCCUCUUCUUCAUCUUCGUUCAAGGAGUCUAUUAUAUCAAUUGCUUCAUGUUAUUCCUGGCCUGGUUUGCCCUCAUUUUUUGCAGGAACCUCUUCUUCUGUUAUGGGGAUAUCAUGAGUCUCCCCCUCAACAUGAUCAUCCUCUUGUAGGAUUAGUAGCUCCCCCUCAGCUGGAGCAUCUUCUAGGAUGAGAGCUUCAGGCAUUUCUCCCUCAGCUGGAGCUUUGUCCUUUUGGCUUUCUUUGGACAGUUCCUUUUCAGCAGCCAACUCUUUAUCUUCCAUUUUAAGUACUCCUUCAUUGACAAGGAUGUACUUCUUAACAAAUUUUUGUCUUAUUUUUCUAGGCUGAGCCACAGCCUCAGGACUUUUUUGAGCUUUAGCUUUGUCCUGUUGAUCAGUCAGAACAUCUGAUGCAGCAACUUCCUUGCUCGAGGUGUUCAGUUUGGUCUUUACGAUCGGUAGAGACUCUACGAUCGAAGACACAUAUGGCCUCUUGGAUUUGUGCCUAAUUUUGUUUUUCUUCAGCAACUGUGAUAUUGUAGCUCUGUCUUCUUCUGCCUCAGCCUGCUGUUGUUUUCUUCUUAUGAUCCUUAUAGUCUCAAUGUCAGAGGACUCUACUGGUUUAUCCGUAGUUGAUCCCUGGGGUUCCUCUGCCAUUCUAGUCUUUAGCUUUCUCUUGCCCUUGCUUUUUAUGACCAGGGAAGUUGGUUCUUCCUUGUUAGUUUCUUCUUUUUCUUAUUCAGUCUCCCUGAUAACUGACAUAUUUCCUGGAAUCCCUGACUCCUUUGCAUCAGCAGUCCUACCACUGGAUUCAGAUAUCAUACGCACAUUUUCUGUUGGAUUCCUUUUCCAGUUCUCGAAUAGUUGCUGGGUCAUUCCUCUAUUUAGAUUGAUGGAUUCUCCUUCAUCGUCCCCAAUUUUGUCACCCAGAGCAGACUGUAGGAUGAUGCUUAUAAAUUUCCCGUAGAGCAUCUUUUGAGAGCUCUUUGUCUUCUUUGAGCUGGUGAUCCACUUUCCAAUCCAUUCCAACAAUAGAGCUCCAUAGUUAAGUUGUAUUCCAUAACAUAUGGCAGUCAUGAGCUUGAGUUGCAUCUCAUUUACAGAAUCGUGACCAGAACUUUUGCAACAUAUACAUUUCCCAACAAUGUCAGCUAGAAAUUCGUAGCUCUGAGGAAACUCCUUCUUCUUGUAUCCUUUGACAGAGGGGGAUUUCUUGUGAUGCAUCCUUUUUAAGUCCCUCAUGGAAGUCUAUGCCAUCUAUGGAUGAACACCCUUCAGAUUUGAAACUAGGGGCUAGGUUGAUGUCCUCAGCCUUCAGCCUGAUUUCCACGUCCCUGACUUUCAUAGUGAUGGCGUUAUUUUCAAACACACCAUUUUUAUAGAAUUCUUUCACUAGUUUAGGGUAGAUCAAUGUGUCUGUACCCAGAGCUUCUUCGAGACCAGCCUUCUUCAAUAAUGACAAAGUUUUAUGAAAUUUGGGUUCAGCUGUCUUGAACUCAUCAAAACAGAGUCUCUAUCUAGAGAUGAUGUUGGAAGCCACUAUUGAUUUCUUUGCGAGGAGUGUGGUUGUCUGAGCUUUGUUAAGGUUUAGGGUUUUUUCUUGAGAGAGAUGAGCUUUUUGAACUUCUGAUUUCAAAAAGGCAAUUUCAAUUUGUACUUGUAAUUUCCCUCUCUCCAUUUUGCAUAGUGGGACAGGUGUCGAAUUCUGCUUGGCUCUACGAAUCUGACUGAGAAGGAUUGUACUGAAUUUCCCUUAACUCCUUCUAAGCUAAUAUAUUCUUCAGAAGGACUACGAUCGUUGAGAUGGUCCUUGGAAUCAUCGAGUAUGUUCUACGUUUGUCGAGUCUGUUCAGUAGUCGUCAUGUCUGAGCUGCAAUCGUAGAGUCUGAGCUGCAAUCGUAGAGUCUGAACUAUGAUCGUCGAGUCUGAAUAGCAAUCGUCGAGUCUGACCAAGUCCUUGUGAUGAACUUUUGACUUAGCAUUCUUCUUGUUUUAAGGUACCUUAGGAAGGGCCAAUCUCAUUGAAUGAAUCAAGGGUUAGGUUUGUCCCUAAGGCACUUAUCAAAGAGAUUGCUUUGUUUUAUACUUCAUCAUCACAGGAUGCUCCUAUGUUUUGUUGAUGGAGCUCUGUUAUCGUUGAGUCUACACCGCGAUCGUUGCGUCUGCACUACGAUCGUUGUCUUUCAUGACACUUCAGCUCUACGAUCGUGAACUUCCUUUGAUCAUGUCUAUGAUUUCAAACAUAGCCUUUACAUCUGUAUAGUUAGCACAAACUAGAGCAUAUUUUUCAUGGUUGUAAGUUAAGCAUGCCUAGCUCACUUAUUAACUUGUUAAAUCUGGAUUCAUCUAGGGGUUUUGUAAAGACAUUAGCAAGUUAGUUUUCAGUAGGGAUAUAUUGUAAAGAUAUAGUUCCAUUUUGCACAUGAUCCCUAAUGAAGUGAUACCUUAUUUCUAUAUGCUUAGUCCUAGAAUGCAUGACAUGAUUAUGAGUUAUUGCAAUUGCACUUAUGUUAUCACAAUGAAUAGGUAUGGAUUUGAAUUCAAACCCAUAAUCUGCUAGCUGAUUUUUCAUUCAUAUGAUCUGAGCACAGUAGCUGCCAGCAGCAAUGUAUUCAGCUUCUACAGUUGAAGUAGAUAUUGAAUUUUGCUUCUUGCUAAACCAGGACACAAGUCUGUUUCCUAGCAAGUGAUAGGUGCCACUGGUACUCUUUCUAUCUAUUUUACAGCCUGCAAAAUCAGCAUCUAUAUAUCCUGUUAGAUCAAAUGAGGACUCCUUGGGAUACCAAAGCCCCAAGUGAGGUGUACCCUUGAGAUACCUGAAAAUCCUCUUUACUGCAGUUAAAUGAGAUUCUUUAGGAUUAGCCUGAAAUCUAGCACAAAUGUGUGUUGCAAACAUUAUAUUUGGUCUAUUGGCAGUUAGAUAUAAAAGAGAGCCUAUCAUACAUCUGUAUUGAGUUAUAUCAAUACUUUUACCUUUUUCAUCUUUGUCAAGCUUGGUUGCAGGAGCAAUUAGGGUUUUCAUGGGAGAGGCUGAUUCCAUGCCAUGCUUCCUAAGUAAGUCUUUAAUGUACUUGGCUUGGUUUAUGAAGAUUCCUUCAUCAGUCUGCUUUACUUGCAGUCCAAGGUAGAAGUUUAUCUCUCCCAUCAUGCUCAUUUCAAACUUGCUCUGCAUAAACUUGGAGAAUCUCUUGCAUAACUUUUCAUCAGUAGAUCCAAAAAUAAUGUCAUCAACGUAUAUUUGAACUAAUAAGACUUUAUCUUUAUGCUUUCUAAGAAAUAGUGUGGUAUCUACUCUACCUCUAGUGAACCCAUUUUUAAUAAGAAAGUUAGUUAGUGUUUCAUACCAUGCUCUAGGUGCUUGUUUAAGACCAUAUAAGGCUUUGUCUAAUCUAAAGACAUAAUUAGAAAGAUAUAGAUUGAUGAAACCUGGAGGUUUCUCUACAUAGACUUCUUCUUGAAGUUCGCCAUUCAAGAAUGCACGUUUGACAUCCAUCUGAAAGACCUUAAAUUUCAUGUGAGCAGCAAAGGCAAGGAAUAUUCUGAUGGCUUCUAGUCUGAAAAUAGGUGCAAAUGUCUCAUUGUAGUCAAUGCCUUCUUCCUGAGAGUAGCCCUUGGCCACUAGUCUUGCUUUAUUCUUGGUUAUUACUCCAUCUUCAUCCAUCUUGUUUCUGAAGACCCACUUGGUUCCAAUAACAGGAUAAUUCUUUGGUCUUGGUACUAAUCUCCAUACUUUGCUUCUUUCGAACUGAUUAAGUUCUUCCUGCAUGGCCUCUAUCCAGCUGGAGUCUUCCAUAGCAUCCUCUAUCUUCUUCAGUUCCAUUUGUGACAGGAAGCUUAGAUAAAAGGAUUCAUUUUGGGUGACAGCUCUUGUUUUGACUCUUGCACUCGAAUCUCCAAUGAUUUGAUCUUGAGUGUGAUCUCUUGCCCAUCUGCUUCCUGUUGGGACAUCUGUUCUUAUGCCUUCUUGUCUUAGAUCUUCAAGAUCUAUUUCUUCUUCUUGGUGUGAUGGUUCGUUGUCUAGCAUAGGUCUCUCUACGAUCUCAUUUCCUUGCUCACUACAACAAAAAAGCUUAUCAGCGACCGGCUAUCAGGGACCGAAUAUGGUCGCAGAAGACUAUUAGCGACCGCAUUCGGUCGCUGAUACUAGUCGCAGCCAAUCUGGUCGCUGGAUGGACAUUAGCGACCAACAAUAGCGACCGAUUUUCCAGCGACCGCAAACAGCGACCGAAUAUAUCGCUAUUCUGACUCAUGCUGAGUCAUUUGUCAGUUGUGACGUGGCACAAGUGUCCGCGGUCGGAAAUAGCGAUCGAGUCGGUCGCUAAUUUCCAACCAGUUAUCAGCGACUGCUCUUUAGCAUUAGCGACCGCAUGCGGUCGCUGAUGUUUUUUUUUUUUAAUAUUUUUCCUGUUUUAUUGAUUUCCCAAAAAUAACCUGCUUUGUACCUGCUUUCUAUCCCAACACACAACAAUAUAUAUAAGCAUCCAUCCAUGAUAACUACCAUAUGAUAAACAUUCAUCCAUGAUAACUGAUAAACAUCCAUCGUAAACCAACACAACACAAUACAAUCAUAAACAUCUAUAUAAUAGAAUCGUAAACCAAUACAAUUGUCCAAAGAAUGAAUCUAAAAGAGUACAAGGCCUUUAACAAUUUAAAAAACAAGUCUUGCAAGGCUUUAAAAAUCUAACAUAUAUGACUGGGCUAGCUCUUCAUGGAUCAUCCAAAUUAGUACCCUGUAAUUAACAAAAGAAUAAAACAUAUAUGUUACAUGUGUUGAUACUGCUAUGACUUGGGAAAAGCUAAACAAUAGACAAUGUAGUAAAACAUAUAAGUAUGUGCAGUGACAGUAACAAUAUCGAUAUAUAUACCUGGUCGCCACCCUGAUGUUGUGAUGCUGCUGCUGCCGCCACUGCCUCCGCCAACUCAUCAGGACUAAGAGAAUGCAGAUGCCCGCCCAGUAUACGAAGAAGAUCACGAUUCUGGCAGAUCGCUCUCACACAGUCAGCAGGAGUAUGAUAGGUUGGAUGACCUGAUGACUAUGUAGACUGGGUAACAGAGCUUCCUGUGCCACUGAUGGUCGGGCGUCGUUUUUGUCCUUAGCCUUUAACAUAGUUUUUCUUCACGACGGACGCCCUCUCCCACAAUUCUUGAUCAAUCGACGGACGCAGGGUGCCUUCAGGAUACCGCUCGUUCAUUAAGCCCUUAUAAGUGUCCUGUCAAAAGGUCAACAAUUAAAUAGUUAAAAAUAAAUAAGAAAUGCUAAAAAAGGUCGUCACAAUUUAUAAACAACAUAUUAGUAUAAAGUUAACUUAUUACCGCUAUCUGAACAGCAUCAGACAGACCAUCACGGAAGGCCACAUACACAUCAAACCAAUUGAUAGGUUGACCUUGAGACUCAGACUCCUACAGUUCAUGUUCUCAUAUUAAUAUGUAAACAUAAAAACAAAUAACUAAGCCAAUAAGCUUGCUAUACAUACGUACCCUAACAGCAAUAUGAUGCAGCUGUGAUAUAUUGUCGCCCUUGUACGUGCCUUUUGCCUUUUCGCCUUCAGAUACACCUGAGGAUCUGUUCGAGGCGGCAGUCCUGCGUCUCUUGACUCAGCUCUCAGCUUUUCACUGGUCACACAUCUGCACCCAUAUGGGAUGUGCGCACCACCAGGGACUAUGCUCAUGCAUAUACUGCUCACCCUGUCCUAGAUGGUCAAUCUCAGCAUUGUGCAGGGCUUUUUGUCGUUCCUUGUUCAGAUUAUCUUUAGUUCGGACGGCGCACUUCUGCCAGAACAGUGUCUGAAUAAUUGAUGCAUGUGCGUCGUCCCAUCUAUACCGCUUCUGCAAAUAAAACAACAGUAAUAAUAUUAAAACUGUUAUAUUACCAUAAUCCUACAUUACUAAACAAUAUUAUUUGAUUAACUAUGUAUUAUCUAUCAGAGUGAUAAAAAAAUAUACCUGAAAUUCAGCUCAAACUGCAUCCUUAUGGGCGAGAGGUGUGCUCGCCCAUGUAAUCAUAAUUGUGAAAUGCACUUUACAAUUUUACUAUCUUUAAAAUCACUACAAUAAUCAAUAAUUUACAGUCAUAUAUAUUUAUAACAAUGAAAAUAUUAAACCCUUAUAUAUACACGAUGUUUAACUUACGUGCUUUCUGGAUGAGGACAGAUCUGUAUAAGAAUGCGAUCAUCCAGAUUUGUCGGGGCCUUCGGCAAAUGAUUAGGGCCCCGACCCAACCCGCGCUUUCGUGUUGCAGGUUCAGAAGACAUCUAUAAAUAAAAAAUUUAGGAUGUUAGUAAUGCUAGCAGUCAGUCAACAUAGCGAUAUAGCAUAACAGUGAAUUUUAAUACUACAACAGUUAGUAAAGCAACACAUAACAGUUCAUAUAAUUCAAUAACAGUUAGUAUAUUCAUGAUUUAAAACAUCUACAUGCAAGUAUAUUGUCAUAGUCCAUUCAGUAUACCAGUUCUGGGCAUGGUUCAUCACACCAAAACAGUAGCAAGCAUUGUCAUAAAUGUCUUUCUAAAACAUGCACCUGUUAUUUACCAUAUAUUCAUGAUUUAAAACAUCUAAAUGUAAAGUCUCUAUGCUUUAGACCAACACAACCCCCCUUUAGGAUUAAAUUUCAAAAACAAACAUGAUUUACCCCUAUGUUUACAAUGAUAGCAUGAAAGUGCAAUAUAAAGGCUUAUACUAUCUUUUUAUAUGAUAAUUAUCAUACAUAACAUAUAUUUGACUUAUAUUGAAUAGCUUACACCAUAUCAGUCCUUAUCAAGCCUCUAAUCUAGCAUACAAGGUUUUUAAAAUAGUGGCUAAGUCUUAAUUAAUUGCUUAAUUCAUAUAUAGGCUAGCAUCAUCUAGGUUAUACAUAAUAUACCAAACCACAUAGUAUACAAGCAUAACAGACUUUACUUGAUUAUUUAGCUUGGUAUUUUAGGCAUGAAUUUAAACUACACACUUAUUCUAGCAUAAUAACAGUCCUCAUGGAGCUUACUAUUUCAGUUCAUUCCUACUUGUUUUGUCCAAGUAUUUAUCUAUCUUAGAUAAAUCAUAGUUAAUAUUCAAAGAUACAAAUCAGUUCUUAGCUUGGCAAUUUAUCAAACAUAUAGAGGGCAGUUUAUAUUCUUGCACUUAAAACAUAAUUCUUACCCCAGCCUUAGGGCUUAAAACAACAAGAAGCAUAGGACUAUACUAAACAGUCCCAAUCACAGCAGUUUCAAUAACAUUUAAGCAGUCAUUGCAUUAUAUUAUUCCCAAUAUAACAGCCAUUCAUGUUACAUAGUCACUAACAGUUCAGUUACUACCAAUUAGAGACACAGGAACGACUUGAAAAAGGAUUGGGGGCCAGAAUUGCCUUACCUUGUUAAUUUGAAGGUGACAAGUAGGUUGAGCUGCUCAAUUCCUUUUCCCCCUCUAGCCGAACUCUGCUAAUAUCACUCUCACACUACUACAAAAUAGUAAAUAGACAACGCAGAAAAAACGUUGUGGUUUCAAUCAGAAAAACGUCGUGGUUAAGAGUGUCAUCUAUUUGACACCCUUACACAACGUUUUUAAAACGUUGUAGUUAAGCACAUUCCACAACGUUUUUUAAGAAAAAAAACGGUGUAGAUUUAUUUUCCAUAAAUUAGCAGAUGCUUAAAAACGUUAUAGAAUGUAUGAUUCCACAACGUUUUCUGAAUAAAAACGUUGUAAUUUAAUAUAUCAGACAACGUUUAGGCACUUUCACACAACGUUUUUAAAAUGUUGUAGAUUAAAAAAAAAGAAAAAAAGAGGUGUGGUUCACCUAUAUUACCAAUACACAUGCAAUAUGCUAAUGUCAUGAUAUAUAGCUAAAAUUACAAAGAAUAUUAUUACCAUACAAUACGUUUACAUCCCAAUAAUUCUUUGUAAUGCCAAUUACAAAGAAUAUUAAUACCAUACAAUACGUUUACAUCUCAAUAAUGCCAAACUAUCCAUACAUCUCAAAUUCACUUUUCAAUAUAAUUACUACUAUAUUGAAUUGUGAAUUUGACUACAUCCACAAAAUAUACCAAACUAUCCAUAAAAUUAAACUACUACCUAAUUAAACUAUCCAUAAAAAACCUGUAACAGAAAAUAACAGAAAAAGAUCCAUAUCAAUGAACUGUAAACCUGUGCACCACAAGUUGGUUAAGACAUUGAUUUUCCCUAGUUAAGCAAGCUAGCAAUUUUGCAGCAAGAAAUGCCUCCAUUUGCAGCCUCAUCAUCUGCCCAAAUUAAAUAAAUUCCACAACUUCAAAAUUUGAACUUAAUGGUAUCAGUUCUUAUGCAUAUAAUAAAACAUCACCCCACAUAUUUUGGCAAAUUAAAACACAAGAUAACAUGUGUAGUAUUUAUUAAUCAUAGAGAGUAUAGUUAUGCUUCCUUUUGUGCUUUAUUCUAAUUUGCAGAAAACAGAAUCCUGAUUUUAUUGACUUCAGUUCUCUUGCAAGGGAUGCCGUUUUUUUCGCCAUAGAUAUAAUUGCAAUCUUCAAAAUCACAUACCAAGCUAAAAUUCGCAAUUGCCAUAACACAUGUAUUCAAAUAUGGGACGAACAGGAAAUUAAACAACUUACAUUAUUGGCUUUCUUGAGGUUCCCCAAUUCUUUUGGACUAAUCUAUAUUCCUUUUAAAUCAUCUCUUCCCUUCUUCAGUCAAGAUCAUCCUCUUUUCCUUGUUUUCUUCAUUUGAUGAUUGGUUUUCCUUACUUUUGGCCUUCUCCAUAGUGCUAUGAACUAUUUCAGACAAUGUGGUGGUCGGUCUAGCAAGUUCCCUUGUUCACUAAAAAUAAUGGACAUAUUAGAUUACACAUAGAAGACAAUAGUGAAGCAAACUUUCUUCAGACUAUUGGAAAGAGAAUUCUAGCAACAAUUUUUUAAUUUUACAUAUUUAUUUAUUAUCCUGUUUAAAACAUUGAAUAUUACAUUUUCUUGCAACAAUAACCCAAUAUGUAUUAACCAUUCAAUUUGUUGACCACUCUCCAGUAACGAAAUUGUGCCUUUUAUUUAACUUUUUAAAACCUAAGAUAUAUAAAUCCUAGAAACUUAAACUAAACAACAGCCCACAAUUACACUCACAAUGCAGUUUUACGCAUAAGAUUAGAAACAAAAUCCUCAAGAUUCACAGAUUGCAACACCAUCCUACUGUUACAUACCUUGAGAAUGCAUGACAUAAAGGAGGUGCCAUCAAGGGAUAAUGCAUGUACUGCCGCUUCUGUUCUCAUGAAUUCUACGUAUGCUAAGCUGCUUAAGCACAGUAACUUUGUAUAGCAUGACUACAAAGUCCAAGACAGACAUAUAAUCAUUAAUAAGUUGAUCAAUUUUAAAGGAAAUUUUGACGGUAGUUACUACUACUUUCUCAGUUCUCUAAGAAGGAGCACUUGCAAUUGUAUGUCAGCCUCUCAUCCCUUCGGCUUUCCUCCUCCUGCAAAGAGAUGAAAAAUAAAGGGUGAAUAAACCAGCUGAAAUUAUAAUGCUUAUGAACAAACUAAGAGGUAUAUGGAAUGCAUGAACAAAGACUGAAGAAAUUUACUGCUCUUAUUCUUGCAAACAAAAAUUCAAAUAUUCGUGGCCAAGUGUACUGCAGAAAAGAGCAACAAAAAUGUUACCGAAUACUGAUUGUUCAGAAUUCAAGUAUAGGUCAUUUACUAUCAACAAUUUAUCCCACAAUAUAAAACAUAUUAAUGACCAAGAUUUAUUAGGAAAUGUCAAAAAUAUAAGAACGAUUUUUUUUGUUAAUAAAUUUCUGAGAUGCAUACUAAACUAUAUCAAACACAACUGGGAGAAUGAUACAGGUUUGCUGAUGAACCUUGAGUUCAAAGGUACAUUCUAAUUGGAAAUAUAACCAAAGAAACCAUGCACAGUGCUGGUCGAACAUGCACUCAAAAAUUGAAAGACCAUAGCCCUUAAGGCUUCUUAAACUCGUAAUUAUCUGCCAACGUAAUUCUUUCAAAUUUGAUUAGGCUAAAACAUGGAGAGGCGGGGAGUCGAGGACUACAUUUCAAGUCUACUUCUUUCUAAAUUUUGAAGUCAAAACACUUGACUUGAAAGUGUCAUGGAGCUGAGAGAGUGCAUUUCAAAAUUAAUAUUUUGUUUCUUUUUGGAUAAUAUUCCACAGAAGUCCGAUUUCUGAAUGAUAAAGCAGGCAAGUAUGCUUAAACAUACCAAAAAGUUUAUAUAAGCAAAAACUAGGAUGCUUGAUAUAAGCAAGUGCUAGAAAAUUAGGACAAUCAAAAUAGAGGCAAUAUCUUGCAAGCUGUCCCAUUGGGGGAGACAGAAAUAAGGAAAGAGACAGACAAGAAGAGAGGAGUGCGCCUCUUACAAUAACUAACUUAACAGCUUUGUGCUCUAAAGCACUAUGUUUUUAAAUUUGAAAAUAACAUCAACUAGGGAAUUUAUCUAUUAGUGAAAUUAAGAAAAGAAAUAAGAAAAAAAAUAUUCCUAAUUUUGUAAGUAACAGGAGACAGUAGCAACUAGCAACCUCAACUGAUCCCACUAAAUUUUUCAUUGUCAAUGAUGAAGUAUAACUGCAACACAUCCAUCAAUGGCACGUUGGCAUUUAUUUUAGUAAGAUAAUAAUUAGAAUAAUGUUUAAUAGUCUGCAUAUAAGAAGAAAAGUUUUGACGAAGACAAACAGAACAAAGGAUUGCCAAGUUUAGAUACAUACACAGAAGAAGGAGAAAAUGUCGGGGUAUUCCAUAGCUAGAAGGACCUCAGCCACAUAGAACCUGCAUAUAAAAUUAAAAGAUCAAUCAAUUACUAGUACUAUCUUAGAAUGAAAAGGAAUAUAACUUAAACCAAUUUACAAUGGGUGUUAUCUAUAAGGUUUAUACAUCGAACUGCAACAGCAUUCAACUUGUAGAAUGGGGCAUUAUAUUCUGAAUAUGUUCCGUCAUCUAUGAGUUGAACUAAAUGUAUGGAUAAAUUAAUGACCGACAUGUAGCAUACUGGUCUUUGUUGAUUUAGGUGGACAAAAUUGCCUGAUAGUAUAAUGUUGAAGCAUCUAAACCGAAAAAUCAACAGGCUAAAAGAAGUAUCCCGCAUGAUUUAUAUAUAGAGAACUAGAAAGUAAAACUUUAAUUGUCCUAUAUAAAAAAUUAUAAUCUCAGCAAUUACAAAGCAUAACAAUUUGUGUUGAGAACUAGUUUAGCAUUGUGCUAGAAAAUCAACUGGGGAAGCAAUCUACCUAAGGCAAUUCGUGGAAGCUUUAAAAGAUGAAAUGAUAAUCUCCUCAUAGUCUAUCAAUUUGAUAUGGUUUCUAAAGUUUUGACACUGGUCCUGAAGGAAGUAUUAACACAUAUACUAUGUAUAUUUCUAAUAGGACAUCAUGACACUGGUACAUGCUAUUUACCAUAACAUCAUGGAAACCAAAUGAUAUACAUGUGAAAUUCAACAAUGGAAAUAUUAAAGUAGGGGUAAAAUAAUCUUGAAUUGGGUAUGAAAGAAACUAUGUGGAAGUUGAGAUUUGAGUGGCACGAUAAAAAUGAGAGAAAAUUAAAUUAUACAUUUUUUAUGUUGCAGAGUAAGAGAUCAGCAAUUUGAACCUGUCAUGAAAAAGAUAUCACCAAUUUGAGAACAAAAUAUGGAAGGUAUGAGAGGAUUGUUUUAAAAAGAUAUCACUAAUCCAGGAAUAAGGACUUCAGAAAUUACAUCUUUGCAGUCCAAUUUAUGUAUGAUGCACCGACAGCACCAAAUGCAUUUCUUUCCACCCCAUACUCAUUCUCAAUCUUCACAAUCAAUUUCAAAAUGUUAACUGUCAGAGAUUAUAACAAUUAACAGAAGCAUCAUGCGAACAAAAAUUUCAUACAUGUGUGAUAAGUCAUACUCUUAGAAGAGCAGGAUGACUCAAACCUGUGAUAAGAUGAUAUGGCCACCCUGCGACUCAAACAGUCUUUCACUCCUCAUCAUCUGAACAAUUUUCUGGGUGAACCCUUGCAUUGCAGCCUUUGACACCAUAAGAUGAUUAAAAAAUUAGCAAUUAAUUUUUAUUAAAAAAAAUAAUUAAAAGUAUUAUAUAAGAUCAAAUUAUCCCUUUCCUCAAUACACCUGUCACCCAAAGUGUAAAACAAGAAAUAGAAACCUCCAUUAUAACACAUUUAAACAAAAACAUAAAGAAAUCCACUCCCCAAUAUAUUCUCAAUAAUGUCUAUAUGCUCUAAUACCCUCGAUUAGGAAAUGUAAUAAAGCAGUAAAAUACAGGGAUGUGAACCUUGAAUGGCCCAUUAUUUGUUCUGAAGCUAAUACCAGGAACAUACUUUAACCAUACAGGAAAUCCCCUGCAUCAAAAGGGAAAGAAGGACCACUUUGUCAAUCUACCAGAAAAUUUGAAUCUCAAUUUCUAAAAACAUAAACAGAAAACAAAACAGACAAUCAAAAUCAAGCCUUUCCUCAGCAGAAUAGUUAUAUGAAAAGUGAAAUAGAUGUAAGAAAAAUUAAAUACACAAAAUUCCAUUCAGCACAAACAUAAGGUCCAAUUGCUGCCGAAAUUAAAUUACACCAGAGAAGUCCCACAAUGAAACCCUAACUAGAGGUAAAUAUACCGACCGAGAUCACCGCCGCGCUUGGCGAAGCUGCAAUCGGAGUAACGAGAUGUGACGUCCUUGAACUUAGCCUUGCCGGAAACGAUGUCUUCACGAAUUUGAGCUGAGAGACGGCAGUUUCUAAUAACUCGACCUUCUAGAUCCUUCCAGGAAGCCUUACGUCGAGAGCCUUGGUGCCGAUGAGACCGACGUUCUGUUUUCUGUUCGAUCUGUCGAUGAGACCGACGUCUUCUUUCUCUUUCGAUCGCCCUCUAUCUUUACUGAUAGUAAUAUAUCUCUUUAUCUACUCUAUCUGUAUGUAUAUAAACACGAAGAGAGAUAAGAGAGAGAAUUACAAGAACAAAUAUAAACACAUUUUUUUGCUCCGUGUUUUUUACACCCAUAACGUUUUUUUUUAAAACGUUAUCUAUUUAAAAAUAAAAAUUGUGCUUAUAAAUACAUAACUUUUUUUAUAUGUAUUUACAACGUUUUAUUAAAAAAAUAUUGUAAAAAAAAAUCACAACGUAACGUCAUUUUUUAAAUGUUGUCUUUUUAUGAUUUUGUAGUAGUGUCAGUUGGAUCUCUUUUUCUUUCUUACUGUGUUAAAAAGCCUUGGGAAGUCAGUUAAGGGGUGGGACAUGAAGUAAAAUAGCUGAAUUAUAAUACUCUUAUAUAUAGUUAAAUCUUUGCCUUAUUUUUCUUAGCCCUUCCUGUUUUCAAAUUAGAGCUCUAUAUAUCAUGAAAAAAAUGCACUAAAAAGGGGAAACCCUUCCUAUUUUCUUAGCCCUUCCUGUUUUCAAAAAAAUGCACAAUAAUCAUGAAAGACUAAAGCACUUACAUGACAGAUAAGAAUUCAUGUCCAUUUUAAUGAAAUAGCAAAACUAAUACUUAACAAAUUUAGUCUAGGUACCCAAAAUAGUUAAGCUAUCAAAUAGUGUGCACAAUAAUCAUGAAAGACUAAAGCACUUACAUGACAAAUAAGAAUUCAUGUCCAUUUUAAUGAAAUAGUAAAACUAAUACUGAACAAAUUUAGUCUAGGUACCCAAAAUAAUUAAGCUAUCAAAUAGUGUACCCAAAAUAGUUAAGCUAUCAAAUAGUGUGCACAUAUGUCGGUGGCGGCUGUGGUGGUGGUGGUGGUGAUGGUGGCGGCUACUAUAGUGGUGGGUUCCAUUCUAGAUACUAUAACUUCUUAGUCCUAUUCACUAAACAACCACUAGAGUGAUAUAACAAAUUUGUUAAUAAAUUUCUUUACCAAUAUCUCCUGAGUUCUUAAUCUUCAAAAUUUGAGUUGAUAUGCAUACAUAAACAAUAAACCAACUACAUAACCAAAAGAAAUCCAAGAAUCUCAAGAGCUAAAAAAGCUCACAUUACCAGUAGUACAUUUACCAAACUAAAGAGUAGACCUAAAAACUAAAAAAAAAUUGAUAAACAAAAGCCACUCAAUUAUCAUGCCAAAUCAUAGUAUUCAAAACGCCACAUCCUCCCAAUUUUCACAUUUCUCGGGAACCAAAUACUAACAGAAGAAUUCCAAAAUUUUCGUUUCAAUACUGAAAACAGAAAGAAGAAUUGGAUCUAACUAAAUAGUAAUUCAAAAAGAUACGCCACUGACAAACAAAUUACUCACCGGAGACGCGGUGGACAAACCCGCCAUACGCCAAAACUUCUUGAGACCCGAACGAGCUGCAAGGAUCUACAAAGCGUAACCCUAGAGGUGGAGAAUCAAUAAUUUUUCUCGUCGAUUGUCAAAACCUAAGAUUGGAGAGAUUGUGUCGAUUGUCGAGGGUUACCCAGGGAUAACGAAAUAGAGAUGCAAAUGAACAAAAUACCUGUAAUUUCGGGACGCCGGGAUUGUGUUGUUAAUUGUGAGGAGUGAAAAAAAAAUAAUUUUUAACAAGAAGUAAUAUCUUCAUAUACCAAUAUUGAAUAGCAUUUUUCUUACCUCUUUUUUUCUUCUGUCGAUCGAGAGUGACGAACUGGAACUGAAACUAGAACUGAUUAAUUGAAAUAGAUCAGCGACCGCUAAUAGCGACCGCAUGCAGUCGCUAAUUUUAAAUGAUGUGGAAGUAUCAGCGACCGCAUGUGGUCGCUGAUGGUGAGUGGUCGCAAACAACUAAGGUGCCAACAUUUUCUGCCAAUUUUUUGGAGGUAAAAUUGAACCAGCGAUCGAGUAGUGACUGGUUUUGGUCGCUAACAUAAUCUAGCUACCAAAUUCAUGUGCGGUCGCUGAUAUUUUUGGUCGUUGUUAGAGCAUUUUCUUGUAGUGGCUCAACGAUUUCACUAUCUGGCACUACGAUCGUAGUGUUGAGCUCGACGACCUCAUUUGUAGUGUCUGAACUAUUGGUCGUAGUGUCUUGAGGCACUGUUUUGUCUAAGUCUGUCUCAUCAAAGAUGAUGUGAAGCGAGACUUCAACACUCAAUGUCUUCUUGUUAAACACUCUAUAGGCCUUACUGUCUAUGGCAUAUCCAAGACAGAUUCCUUUGUCUAACUUUGGUUGAAACUUUAUCAAGUACUGUUUUUCAUUGUUGAGAAUGUAGCAUGCACAGCCGAAAACAUGAAAGUAGCUGACACUUGGUUUUCUUCCUUUCCACAGUUCAUAAGGAGUCUUCUUAAUCAUAGAGUGUAUGAGUGAUCUGUUCUGAGUAUAGCAUGCAAUGUUGACAACUUCUGCCCAAAAGUAUUCAGGCAGAUAGGCUGCUGCUAGUAGAGUUCUUCCAGCCUCUAUCAAUGUCCUGUUCUUUCUCUCAGCUACUCUAUUUUGUUGGAGAGUUCGUGGAGCUGAGAAGUUGUGACUAAUGUCAUUGUCUGUGCAGAACUGAUCCAUUUCUAAGAAGUCAAAUUCUCUUCCAUGAUCACUCCUUAUAGCCUUGAUUUUCUCUCCUUUCACGUUCAUCACCAGCUUGAACAUCUUGAUCAUUUGGGAGCUUGUUUCAUCCUUUGAAGUUAGAAAGAACACCCAUGUAAAUCUGGUGUAGUCGUCGACUACGACCAGAGAGUAUCUCUUUCCUCCAAGGCUCGUCGUUGGAAUUGGCCCAAAAAGAUCCAUGUGUAGCAACUGCAGAGGCUUGUCAAUUGAGUUGGCAGUUUUUUCUUUUGAAUGAGCUUCUGGUCUGCUUUCCAAGUUGUUGCACGGCCUUUCUUUAACGAAGUUGAACUUGGGUAAGUUUGCAACUAGAUCUUUUGAAGCUAAUUUGGACAUGUUUUUGAAGUUGAGAUGAGAUAAUCUUCGAUGCCAUAGCCAGCUCAUUUCUUCAUAUGCUUUAGCCAGAAAGCAUAUUGUCUCAUCUGAGCUUAGUUAUCCAAGGUUUACUGUGUAGACAUUUCCUUCUCUUGUUCUGGUUAACUUUACAGCAGAUGUCUUCAGGUCUCGGACUUGACAUUGAUUGUUGAGGAAUGUUACUUGAUGCCUUGUCGCAGAGUUGGCUAAUGCUUAAAAAAUUGUGUUGUAGUCCUUCCAUAUAGGCCACUUUGCUGAAGGAUACUGCACCAUUUCCAGCUGAGCCAUAUCCUCUUAUCUUGCCAGAUUGUACUCGGUCAUGCCUGGUUAAAACCCGUUGCAAGUUUGGCACAGGUGUGGCUGAUAUUUUGGAUCAAUGAAGGUGUGCGUAAGAAUUUAUAAUAUAUAUAUAUAUAUAUAUAUAUAUAUAUUAAUAUUCUAUUAAAUUUUCUGCUUUGGUGUUCUAAGCAAUUUCCUAUAAAUAGGGUGCUUAGGUUAGAAUUGAAAAUCACACCAGAAACUGAAGUUUUCUCUCUCUUUCUCUCUCUAUAUUAUCGAGCGUAUUCUUGUGAGUAUUUUGAUACUUUGAGUGUUGCUAUACGGUGCAAGUUCCCUUCAGCACUAUAUCCAGUAUUCCAGUCAGAAGUACUGUCUUUUCGAGGUAAGGGAUGUUAUUUUCUUCUUAAAUGAUAUUAUUUUCUUCAAUAUCAUUAUGCCGAAAUAUUGGUGACUUUUUAAUCAAAUUUGAAACUUUUUGUGUUGGGGUUACUAUUCACAUAUACGACACUAUUCACGUAUAUGGGACUAUUCACGUAUACGACACUAUUCACGAAUACGGCACUAUUCACAGAAAAAUUAAAUUUUUGUUUUUUUGUUCAAAAUAUCUAUUAUGGAUACUAGCUUUGAUUGUAUCCAUGUUUUGAUCAUUCUUGAAUUUUACUUCACUGUGAUUAUUAAUGAAGUAUUUUUGAACUCGGAUUGUUUAAAGUACGAAUCCUUAAUAUUUGUUCUUUUGUUUCACUGGAGUCGUUUUCUUUAAAAUAUUUUUCAUCAUCCUCAGUCCUAAAUGAUGAUUUUUUAUAUAUUUUUGGCCUGUAGUGCAAAGAUUAAUGAUUUUCUAAUAAAUAUCUUUGGCCGUAGUGCAAAGAUGAACAGGUGUUGAGAUGAACAUGACCAACUGAUGAAUAUCUUUGGCCUGUAGUGCAAAGAUAAAUAUUUGAUUCAAGAUGAAUAUUGAUUGAUGUUACAGGGAUAAAAUAAUGAUGAUGGACUUUUAAAUUCAUAGAUUAUAGUAGAUUUCAUUCUCUACGUAACUCUUCUAUGAAUUAUUAUUUCCGCUGCGAAAAUUGAUCUGAAACUUGUUGUCUAUUAUAUUUUAUUAGAUUUUUCCCUGUUGAAGACUAACGAUAAUUUGUUCUAUAUUAUCUUAUAUAUAAUAUUCUUUACUGGGCUAGUUGAGCUCACCCUUUUCCUUUUUGUUCCAUUUUUCUUCUCAGGAGUCGAGAAUAUAGCGAGUACUAGUCGGGGUAUGGAAUGAUGGUUAUAGAUGUCGUUUUAGUAGUCCUCACCAUUUUUGUAAAAUAAUGUACCAAUAAUUAUAAUGAGGACUUAUUUGAGUGUUGAUAUUGUCUAGAAGACAAUAUUUGUAUUUAAACUCACAGUUUUUAUGUUGUAUUAAUAAAGUUGUAGUUGUUUUUGUACCAUGUUAUUGACGACUCAGAAUGGGUGUUGUAUACCUAUUUUGGGGGCGUCACAGUUGGUAUCAGAGCUUAGGGAUAUGAUCUCUGGCGGAGAUCGGGGAAUAGAACUAGGAGGGGAGAGACGAGUAAAUCCUUCGCUAGUGUAUCCUACCUAAGCUUAUUUGUUGGUUGGUCAGAAUAUAGGUAUAUUAUGUGAUAUAUUGAUUUCUUUAAUUAACCCUUGUUUUAUGGCAGUAUUUGAGAAUGUCGACUGAGAAUGUUAACAGUGGAGUAAAUGAGAGCGUGGAGACACCUUUACUCACCCACGAGGAGAACGUGAAAUAGGCUGGCAAUGUUCCUCCUGUGAACAACACCACUGAGCAGAUGAUGAACGACGGGAUGUUUAGAAGCUUUUUGCAGUUCAUACAAAACCAGACGAGGGAGACUCGUGUUCAAAAUACAGGUGGAAAUGAUAAUAACGCACGGUUUAUCACAGCCAAGCAGUUCAAAGAGUUGGGACCACCAGAAUUCUGGGGAAAGCCGGAUCCGAUUAAAGCAGAAACGUGGGUCAAACAAAUUACCAAGAUAUUCGAUGUCUUGGGAUGCACGGAGGAACAGAAGGUUCCAUUCGCCACCUUUAUGUUCCGUAAUGAGGCAAAUUACUGGUGGGAAUCGGUGAAGCGUACCCCUCCAGCCGAACUCAGCAUGUCUUGGGAGACGUUUCAGAAGUGUUCAAAGACAAGUACUUUUCUGAAAGUAUUCGUCAUAUGAAAGAAGUGGAGUUUAUUAGAUUGGAACAAAACAACAUGACGGUGUCCCAGUACGAGGCGAAGUUUACAGAAUUAUCCAGGUUUGUACCUCAUUUGGUGGAGAAUGAGGAACGUAUGACGCUGAUGUUUCUGAGAGGUUUGAAACCCGACAUACGUCAAUAUCUCAUUUCUCAUAAAUUUUCUCUCUAUUCAGAUGUUGUCAACAGGGCUCAAUUAUUAGAGCGAGAUAACGAGUACGUUCAACCGAGGGACCAUAACCAGGAUCAUACUGGUGACAGCAAUCAUCAGAACAAUGAUAACCAGCAGAGAAAGAAAAAUACGGACAAAAGCGGCAACCAUUCUGGUGGUAAUCAUGGCCAUGAAAAUAGAAGAAGCGAGUCGGGGGGAGAUUUUAAAAAGAGGAGAUUCAACAAUGACAAUGCGAAGACGUCAGCACCAUCAGCAACUGGUUCUAAGGGAGGAGAGCGACCACCGGUCAUAUGCUAUAAAUGUGGGAAAGAGGGACAUAUCAGUCCAAACUGUCCACAACAGUUCAAGGUAUGCUAUAAUUGUGGAGAGCCAUAUCCACACAUGUGCCAGAUUGUGGGUUACCCAGAUUGUACUCGGUCAUGCUCUGUCAACGGGAUUUAACCGAGUAAAACAUUAAAUCUAUAUAUUAACUAACUCUGAUUUCACUUGCAGAUGAAAGAGCUCAUUCCAAACAACAUAUCUAAAACAUAAAAUCACAAAAAUCAAGAACAAAAAAGAAUCUAUUGACUCUGACAUUAGCUUGUCAGGCCAUCUUAGUGUUCUUAGGCAGUUUUAAAAAAACUUCAAUUUUGUGUAUCUUGAUGUUAUGGAUCUAAGAUAUGACAACCCAGAUCACCCAAUAACACCUUAAUACACAAACAUUUAACAUAUAAACACAAAGUUUAACAUGAAUCAUAGUGAUUUCCAAGGUUAGGGUUUUAUACCUUCUUUGAGCUUUGAUCUAGAAUCUGAUCAUCAUUAUCUGUUCUUGGUGUUUUAAGGACUUGAAUAUAGACUGGUCCACUCAACAAUUUCGUGGCUAAGAGGUUGAGAGAGUUUGGUUUAGAGUAAUGCAAGGUGUCAUGCUAAAUCAGAUUGUAGCUGAGUAAUAAGUCAAAAGGCUAGCAUUAGUUGGUCACCAAAUCAAAGUUUGGCAAGUUUUACACUCCAUUAAUAAAAAAAUGCCAAAAAGGGUAAUCUAGUCAUUUUCAUAUCAUUUUAUUUCUAGAAUUGUCAUUUGAUACAAACCCUUAGGGUUUAGGUUUUAACCCUUAGGGUUUAGGGUUUAACCCUUAGAGUUUAGGGUUAAACCCUUAGAGUUUAGGGUUUAACCCUUAGGUUUUACAUUUUAGUUUUCUAAAAUUUCCAAAUUAGGUUUAAAAAAUAGAAAUUUAAUAUUUCUAACUUAUAAUUAGGAUUCUAUAAUUAUAUUAAGAUUUCCUAAUCAUAACUUCAAGCUUGAUUAUUAGGAUUAAUUUAUCCUAUUUAAAAUUGCUAAUUUAGCAAUUAAGUCCAUUACUGUACAUUAGGGUUUCUAACAAAAUAAUUAGGGUUUAAAAAUUUGAUAUUAGGGUUUGCUAAUUAAUUAAGCUUUAACCUAAUUAAUAUUAUAAUUAAUAGCACUCAAGCAUCAUAAUUAUCCUUUAAAUUCUCAGAUUAUGGUUUUUAAUUUUCGAAUUAGGGUUUUGGAUUCCUGGAACUGAAAUUAGGGUUUCCAGAAUCGGUUUCUAGGGUUUCUUAUCAGACAUUAGGGUUUUCUAACUGAACGUUGACGUUCUUAAUAAUAUUAGGGUUUGACACUGAUAAAAUUUAUCUGGUCAACCCUUGACCCUUAACCACAUAAUGUACACAUAUAAUACCAUAUUCAUAGAACAUAACCACAUAUACAUUUAAUUCUGAAUAAUUCACCAAAAUCCUACACAGAAUUUUGAAAUCCUCAAAAUUCCUUCCCAAAAACAUCAAACGUAUACGCUUAUUUUCUGUCUAGGUCUAUUAUUUGACCUUUAAUCCAUCAUUUAAGAUUUUAAUAAAUUUUCCAAAUUCUCGGGUUGUCACAUUCACCCCUUCUUCUAAGAAUUUCGUCCCCAAAAUUCACCUUGCACCUUACUCCAUACUGCUUACACCAUUCACACAUAUCAUCAUAUGCUACCCAAUACACCACUCACAAGAGUAAAAAUUUUUCAAAUCCUGCUGAGGGGUUAUAUAGACCAUGAACACAUAGUUUUAACGUUAUUCUUACCGCAAAACUAUACAUUACUUGGUAUGUUUACAAUCACAAAGAAGGUAAAAUACCGUUGCUAGUACUUUAGGUGAUUAGCCUAUCGUACUCUUACGUCAUGCAUAACGUAUCAAUCAUGUCUAGCGAAUAUUUAUGCUACUUGAUUGGAUUAUUUAUCCAAACAACAUAGUUCACCUCAGUCUUAUCAUAGGAUUCCGCACCAAAACAAUUUGGUUCGGGAAAUCUCUUUCAAUGAACACUUAGAGUUUUCAUAAACAUUAGUCUAGCUGAAUUGAAUAGCGUAGACUCAUAUCAAUAAUUCAAUUCAAUCGAAUUAUUUAGAUGUAGCCAAACCCCGUUGGCAAAUUAAAAUUUUUGAAAAUAUUUUUGAGAAUGACGUCAUGAUGCCGUACUGUAUUAACAGUCCGUUUGAGGAUGCCGUCAUUGUAUGACUUUGUCAUAACACAUCAUACAAUAGUGGAAUAACGAUUUUAGAUCAAAUUCACACUAAGUAUUCCUGUAUUUACAACUCCAUCACCUUUUUAUCAUCUCUGCACCAGGUUACAUGGUACAUAAGUGAUAAAUAAAAUAUAUUUUGAUAUUUCAAAUCAUUUGCAUCUAGACGAAAUAAAUAGCAUAGACUGUACUUUAAACCGUUUCAAAAAUGAUUACGAGUCUACAUAUUUUUUUUAAAAGCACAUAGUGCGUAUUUAGCUUGAUGUCAAAAUUUUGAAGUCUAGUAUAACCAGAAGUUUUUGGAAAACUUAUGUCUCCACUAACAAUCAUUUGCUUAACAAUCUAUCUGUUCCUAUAAUCCUUAAUACUCCAUUCACACACAACUAUACCCAGUUCGUCAAACCACACUUAUGAGUUCAUAAACUUGCCACAAUCAUAUGAGUUUAAGAACUUACCCUAGUCUAACCUUUGGCGUUCGUUCGCUGAGGGGUUCAUAAGCAUUUCAUAUAACUAUGAGUCAAGAAUGUCACAUAAGUAUGAGUUUUUAGAACUCGUACUUAACCCUAUAUUCUCUACCUAUGACCUAUCUAUCUGUUAUACACAUGAGAUAGGAAUCACCCUCUUAACAUGCAUAUAACAAAUAGCGCGACAUAAACAUUUCAAUGAUUAUCAGUGCUAGAAACUAAGUAGUUUUUACACUAAGUACAAUUCCCCGCCCAUACAAAGAAUCAUACAACUCAGCUACCGACAUGAGUCCUCAAUUGAAAUCCCCACCUAAUCUUAACCCCUUUCUCAAUAAAAAUUUCAUUCAAUUCGUAUUCAUAAUCCUUUCCUGAAUCUGUACCAAUUCAUAGUACAACUGUCACGCAACAUUCUUGAUGUAAACUUUCCAAUCAUUAGAUUGAUUCUUUUCCCUGCUAUGUCCUUAUCAGAUCACGGGGUGAUUGUAGCGCCCCGAAUCCGGGUCCCGAAUCACCGCGGAUCCGGUUCGCUAUUUCUAUAACUGUUGCGGAAGAUAUAAACAUAAAUUGUUUAUACAUUAAACAUUAUACACUAUCCCCAAGGUCGAGUAACCAUAACUUAUACACAAUUCAUAACUUAUCUAACACAUGACAUCAUUAUCAUACAAGACUAUUACAAAACUAAUCGCGCACAUUAACUUUAAGCUGGAACUGUCUUUAACUUUCCUUGUAUCCGAUGCAUUCACCUUAAUCCGCAAUGUUUUAUCAUGAUAUAGCAAGGGUGAGCAUGAAAGUUGCCCAGCAAGUUUAAUACAAUUUAAGGAUAUAUCAUGAUUAAAAGAGUAUGAAUAAUAAGCUGGCUAUAAUUCGCAAUGUAGUUGUGAAUUAGCAUGAACAAACUUUUGACUGAACAAGUAUUACAUAUGAACAAUAUAUAUAUCCGGACCAACUGGUAAUGAAGGUGAUCAUUCUUUCAUACCUGACUUAUACGUGCAAUAUGUACAGAGUACAAUUCAAUAUGGCAAUCAGCAAUGAUUAACCAUAUGCAUAUCUGAAUAAAACACUCUUAGUAGAGUUAAGUAGAACUUGCCUGAACAGUUGAUUACCGAUACGAAAUAUAACUUAGCUUAUCUGAAGACCUAAUAUAGAUAAUACCGAUCUCCAAAUAUUAGAAUAAUAUCAUCACAGUAUAAAAUAACCUAAACACAUUAUCACAUAAUCNNNNNNNNNNNNNNNNNNNNNNNNNNNNNNNNNNNNNNNNNNNNNNNNNNNNNNNNNNNNNNNNNNNNNNNNNNNNNNNNNNNNNNNNNNNNNNNNNNNNNNNNNNNNNNNNNNNNNNNNNNNNNNNNNNNNNNNNNNNNNNNNNNNNNNNNNNNNNNNNNNNNNNNNNNNNNNNNNNNNNNNNNNNNNNNNNNNNNNNNNNNNNNNNNNNNNNNNNNNNNNNNNNNNNNNNNNNNNNNNNNNNNNNNNNNNNNNNNNNNNNNNNNNNNNNNNNNNNNNNNNNNNNNNNNNNNNNNNNNNNNNNNNNNNNNNNNNNNNNNNNNNNNNNNNNNNNNNNNNNNNNNNNNNNNNNNNNNNNNNNNNNNNNNNNNNNNNNNNNNNNNNNNNNNNNNNNNNNNNNNNNNNNNNNNNNNNNNNNNNNNNNNNNNNNNNNNNNNNNNNNNNNNNNNNNNNNNNNNNNNNNNNNNNNNNNNNNNNNNNNNNNNNNNNNNNNNNNNNNNNNNNNNNNNNNNNNNNNNNNNNNNNNNNNNNNNNNNNNNNNNNNNNNNNNNNNNNNNNNNNNNNNNNNNNNNNNNNNNNNNNNNNNNNNNNNNNNNNNNNNNNNNNNNNNNNNNNNNNNNNNNNNNNNNNNNNNNNNNNNNNNNNNNNNNNNNNNNNNNNNNNNNNNNNNNNNNNNNNNNNNNNNNNNNNNNNNNNNNNNNNNNNNNNNNNNNNNNNNNNNNNNNNNNNNNNNNNNNNNNNNNNNNNNNNNNNNNNNNNNNNNNNNNNNNNNNNNNNNNNNNNNNNNNNNNNNNNNNNNNNNNNNNNNNNNNNNNNNNNNNNNNNNNNNNNNNNNNNNNNNNNNNNNNNNNNNNNNNNNNNNNNNNNNNNNNNNNNNNNNNNNNNNNNNNNNNNNNNNNNNNNNNNNNNNNNNNNNNNNNNNNNNNNNNNNNNNNNNNNNNNNNNNNNNNNNNNNNNNNNNNNNNNNNNNNNNNNNNCAUGGCUAAACAACAUCAAAUCUAAGAGAUAUCGGCCAUCAAAAACUCUGACAAUCCUGUUCUUCGACUGAAGAACAGUCGAGGUGCCUACUUUGGAUUCUUAUAACUUGCAAUCCGUGUAUUGUUUGUGUGAUAUAUUAAUUGACGUGUGUAGACAACAUGUAGGACUAUAACUACAAAGCAUCAUAACACAUUAAAAUCAAAGCAUGAGGAAGAUCUGGCCGGUCAAAGUUGAACACGGAAGUUGUUCUACAAAAAUCUGGGUUCGUGUUCUUGACAGUUUUGGUCAACGGGUUUUGACCAUGAAUAACUCCCAAUCUAUAACAGAUAUGAACUUGAUUCUUUUUGCAUAUUAAAGACCACAUAUCAGACUAUACAUAACAACUUUUAAUCAACAAAAAUAAGGAUCGAGCAAAGAUCUAUGGCCACUGACAUUUGACUGUCAGACCAAAAUUUUUGAUUUUUUCCCACUUGCUCAAAUCUUCAAAUUCGUAUACUUUGAUGUUAUGGGUCUUUGACUUAUCAACCCAGAUCAUCAAUUAACAUCCUAUUACACAAAUUUAAACAAUCAAUUGCAACAAAUAACAUCGAAUCAAAGGAUUUCCUGGUUUAGUGUUCUUAUACCCUUUUUGCCAAAAAUUCUUGAUUCUUGCUUCUGAUUUGUUAUGGGUGAUGGUUGGGCUUUGUUUAAGAGUGUAUGGGCAAUCUUGUACAAGGCAAUUAAAUGUAAUAUUUAAUCACUAGAUUUAAUUCUUAUAAUUUACCAAUUAACUUCUAUCCUUUGGUAAAUUAAAACACUUAUACANNNNNNNNNNNNNNNNNNNNNNNNNNNNNNNNNNNNNNNNNNNNNNNNNNNNNNNNNNNNNNNNNNNNNNNNNNNNNNNNNNNNNNNNNNNNNNNNNNNNNNNNNNNNNNNNNNNNNNNNNNNNNNNNNNNNNNNNNNNNNNNNNNNNNNNNNNNNNNNNNNNNNNNNNNNNNNNNNNNNNNNNNNNNNNNNNNNNNNNNNNNNNNNNNNNNNNNNNNNNNNNNNNNNNNNNNNNNNNNNNNNNNNNNNNNNNNNNNNNNNNNNNNNNNNNNNNNNNNNNNNNNNNNNNNNNNNNNNNNNNNNNNNNNNNNNNNNNNNNNNNNNNNNNNNNNNNNNNNNNNNNNNNNNNNNNNNNNNNNNNNNNNNNNNNNNNUAGGGUUUUAUACCUUUUCUAACUUUGAUUUCUUGAUUUUUGGCUUCUGAUCUGUUGCUUGUGAUCGUGGGGCUUUGAUUUAGGACUGAUAUAACAACAAAUUUCGUAGGUUUGAGGCUUGAGAGUAUUAGCUUGAGUAUUGAACAAAUUUUAGUUUACCAAAUGAUUUUCUCUCUCUUCCAAUCCUUUUAUAGACAACUUAGAUUCAUGUAUGGGAUGUUCUAGAGCUGAUGUGCUGGAGUUGUGAGUCACCAAGAGUUAGUAAGGUUAGGUAAGCAACUAAAGUUUUGGACACAACUACAAGUUAGCUCACUAAAACACUCAAAAGGGCAUUAUAGUCAUUUCCUUACCAUUUUAAAUUCUAGAUUAGUCAUUUGUGAGAUAUAGGCACAUGGCUAGCUAGGGUUGGUCACCAACCACAUACUAGGGCUAGAUCUACACUCCAUCCCAUUAAAAUAUUCAAGAAGGGUACUUUGGUCAUUUGACUUGUAAAGUGAAUGGUAACUUGGUAAUUGGUCACAACCCUUAGGUUUUAAAAUAGAAAAUUAUAAUUAGUGUUCCCUAAUUACAAUAAAGUUUACUAAUCACAUUCAAGCUUGCUAAUUAGGGUUAAGGCUUCCUAAUUAACAUUAAACAUUAUAAUUUAAUAAUUAGGUUUUCUCUAAUCGUACAUUAGGGUUUCUAACAUUAGAAAUUAGGGCUUUCCAAAUAAAUCAAUUAGGGUUAUCCCUGAUUAUACCUACAAUUAAUAACAUAGAAACUCUAUAUUUAUCUUCAAGCUUCCCACUUAGGGUUUUAAUAUCCCGAUUUAGGGUUUCAGACAGAAUAAUUAGGGUUCAAAUUUUGGAAAUUAGGGUUUGCUAAAUAAUUAAGCUUUACCCUAUUAAGCUUAUAAUUUAAAUCACUUGAGCAUUAUAAUUCUCCGUUAUAUUCCCAGAUUAGGGUUUCAAAUAUUCGAAAUCUGAAAUUAGGAUUUUCAGAUAUGGUAUUAGGGUUUUCUAAUACUCAAAUAGGGUUUCCAGUAAUUUAUUAGGGUUUUCCCUAAUUAGUUUAUAAUUAAUAACGUUAAACCUUAUAUAUAGCAUUGCAUUCCCAAUCUAGGGUUUUUAAUAUCCGAAUUAAGGUUUCGGAUUCCCGGAACUGAAACUAGGGUUUCCAGAACCGAUUUCUAGGUUUUUCUUAUCAGACGUUAGGGUUUUCUAACUGAACGUUGAUGUUCUUAAUAUAUACUUAGGGUUUGACACAGAUAUAAUUUUAUCUAAUCAACCCUUGACCCUUAACCACAUUCUGUACACAUACAUAACAAAUUUCACAGAACUUAAUCACAUAAAUCCUUAAUCCUGAAUAAUUCACCUAAAUCCUUCACAGAAUUUUGAAAUCCUCAAAAUUCAAUCCUAAUAACAUCAAACGCAUACACUUAUUUUCUGUCUAGGUCUAAUAUUUGACCUUAAAUCAAUCAUUUAAGAUUUUGUAAAAUUGUCUAAAUUCUCGGGUUGUCACAUUCACCCCUCCUUAUAAGAAUUUCGUCCCCGAAAUUCACCUUACACCUUACACCAUACACCAAAUAGCUUACACCAUUCACACAUAUCACAUACUACCCAAUUCACCACUCACAAGAGUAAAAGGUUUAAAAUUUUGCUGUGGGGUCAUAUAAGAUCAUGAACUUAUUUUCUCGGGUAUCUAUCAAAGAUACUCAAAUUUCUCGGGUAUCUAUCAAAGAUACUCAAAUUACUCGGGUAUCUAUCAAAGAUACUCAAAUUAAAAUAUUCCCUUUAUAUAAAAGGUUAUUCUGCUCAGUCUUACUUGAUUCCGCAGCAAAACAAUUUGGUUUGGAAAAUUUCUUUCAAUAAAAACAUUUUUGAGAAUGACGUCAUGAUGCCGCACUGUAUUUAACAGUCCGUUGAGGAUUUCGUCAUUUGGUGACUUUGUUAUACUACAUCAUACUGUAGUGGGCUGACGAUCCUUAGAUCACAUUCAACACCAAGUAAUUCUGCAUUGAUAACUCCAUCAUUUUUUUUUAUCAUCUCUGCACCAGGUCACAUGGUACAUAAGUGAUAAAUAAAAACAAUUUUUUUUUUUAAAGGGCACAUAGUGCGUAUUUAGCUUGAUGUCAAAAAUUGAAGUUUAGCAAAGCUAGGGGUUUAGGAAAACCUAAAUCUCCACUAAUGAUCAUUUGCUUAAACAUUCUAUCUAUUCCUAUUAUCCUUAACACUCCAUUCACACAACUAUACCCAGUUCAUAAAACCACACUUAUGAGUUCAUAACCUGGCCACAAUUAUAUGAGUUUACGAACUUACCCUAGUCUGACCUUUGGCGUCCGUUCGCUGAGGGGCUCAUAAACAUUUCAUAUAACUAUGAGUCAAGAAUGUCACAUAAGUAUGAGUUCUAAGAACUCGUACUUAAUCCUAUAUUCUCUACCUAUGACCUAUUUAUCUGUAUAUAACAACUAGCGUGACACAACAUUUCAAUUAUUACCAAUGCCACCAACUAAGUAGUUUUUACACCAAGUACGAUUCCCCGCCCAUACAAGAAAUCAUACAACUCAGUUGCCAACACGAGUCCUCAUUGAAAUCCCCACCUAAUACUUAACCCCCUUCUCAAUACGAAUUUCAUUUAAUCCGUAUUCAUAAUCCUUUUCUGAAUCUGUACCAUUCACACAGCAAUCAUGCUUUAAACUUUUCAAUCAUCAGAUUGAUUCUUUCUGGCUGUCAUAACCUUAACAGAUCACGGGGUGAUCUCAUCGUAUAUAUUACGAUUCAAUUCUAUGACUAUGAUCGUUUUGUUUUACGAUCUCCUAUCACUGAACUUUUAGUCUUUUAGACUUUAUCUAUUCACCACUUCUGUUCAACCUUAUUACCAGAGUUAGGGAACUCUGUAUCUUUACAACUUACCGAGAUUCGUCUUUGAAUCUUACCGACCAACUAACUCUAUGUGAGUUAGAUCUUAUCCUAAUCACUGCGGUUAUUGGUCUCAGGUAUUCCUACCUAAGCUUCAUAACCAACAGCUUUGAUACCAACUGUAGCGUCCCCCGAAUCCGGGCCCCAAAUCGCCGCGGAUUCGGUUUGCUAAUCUUUCUAUAACUGUUUGCGGAAGAUAUAAACAUAAAUUGUUUAUACAUUACAUUACACACUAUUCCCCAAGGUCGAGUAACCUUAACUUAUACACAUUUCAUAAACUAUUUAUUACAUAACAAUAUUUAUCACAAUACGCUAUUACAAACUAGCUGCACUUUAUAACCCAAGCUGAACUUGGCUUUAAUCGUUUCCUGUAUCCGAACGCUUUCGUCUUAUCUGCAAUGUUUUAUCAUGAUAUAGCAAGGGUGAGCAUGAAAGUUGCCCAGCAAGUUUAAAUACAACAAUAUAAGGAUAUAUCAUGAUUGAAGAGUAUGAAUAAUGGGCUUGCUAUAAUUCAUCAAUAUAAUUGAGAACUAGCACGAACAAAUUUUUGACUGAACAAGUUUUAAACAUGAACAAACAUUUCUGAACCAACUGGUAAUGAAGGUGAUCAGCCUUUCAUACCUGACUUAUACAUGCAAGAUGUACAGAGUACAAUUUUCAUGGCAAUCAGCAAUGAUUUAACCAUAAGCUUGAAUAAAACACUCUUAUUAGAGUUAAGUAAGAACAAACUUGCCUGAACCGUUGAUUACCGCAACGCAAUUUAUAACGCUUUACCCGAAGACCUAAUAUUAAUAAUAUAGAUCUCCAAUAUUAGAAUAAUAUCAUCACAGUAUAAUACUGUUAUAUUUAUAUACACAGAAUAACCUAAACACAUAACACAUAACCCUAUCAGUCUAUACAGCACAUAAGACUUAAUAUCAGGUCAAACUAUUUCAGUCUGACUUAAAACUGACACAAUUCUAUCAUCCCGACGAUCUAGUCGGACAAUACUCGAGUUUAAGUUCAGUUAAACUCUGCCUAACCCUUAACAAUUAUCACAGAUAAUUUUCUUAUCAGUCAAAACAUUUUUCCUAGGCUCGUAAUAAUUUUCGGAUAAUUAUUACCAUUUAUCAUGAUUUUCCAAUCAUUAAUAUCGUAUUUAAAUGAAUUAAAUACCACAUAAUUCCUUAAUCAUUAAUAUUCAUUUAAUAUAAAAUAUUAAUGAAAAUCAUUACAUAAUAUUAUAAUGUAAUUAUAAUAUUUCAAAAUAUUUUUAAUACCUUAAAAUCAUAAUUAUUUGAUUUUUAAACACUUAAAUCCAUUAUCCGAUAAUUAAUAUUAAUAUUAAAAUAUUAAUAUUUUCAUGCCAAAAUAUCAAAAGUUAUAUUUUAUAACUUAAAAUAUUUUUAUAACACUUAAAUCAUUUUUAUAUGAUUUUUAAAACAUUAAUUCUAUUUUUCCUUAAUUUAUUUAAUAUAUUUAUUAAAUAAACUAAUUACCAUUAAUAAUAAAUUAUUAAUGAAAUUUAUCACAAAAUAUUAAAAGUCAUCAAAAAUAACUUAAAAUAUUUUCUUUUACCAUAAUAUUAUUUUUCAUGAUUUUUCAUGAAUUAAAACUAUUUUUAAAUAAUUUAUUUAAUAUUAUAAUUAAAUAAAUAAAUACCUUUUAUAUUCCAAAAAUAUUAAAUAUUUAUGAAAUAUACUCAAAAUAAUUAAAAACUAUUUUUCAGACUUUAAAAUAAUUUUUCAUAAUUUAUUUGGUAUUUUUAAUAAUUAAAAACUAAUUUUUCUAAUUUUUAAAUUAAUUUCCGGAAAAUCAGAAAUUAAAAUAAUUAAAACUGUCGCUAAAGGCCCCUAUAGUGACAGAAGUGUCGCUAUAGGUGUUCUUGAGCCUACCCAGAUCUUCAUAAGGCAGAACCGAGUGGCCUACUUUGACCGUGAAUAACUCUCUCAUCUUAACGAAUUUGGACAAUCUAUAAAUUGGGUCUUGUAGAGGAAAUACAAGACUACAAGAUCCAACAAUCAUAACCUCUAAACAAACAUCAGAUCUGGGAUAAAUCAGCCAUCAAAGUAGCUACCAAAGCUGUUCUUCACGAAGAACAGUUCGAGGUGCCUACUUUGGACCUCUAUAACUUGAUGAUCGUGUAACGUUUAUGUGAUCUAUCAAUUCCAGUGUGUAGACAACAUGUAGGACUACAACUCUAACACUUAACAUCAUCAUAACAACAAGAAAUCAAGCAUCUAAAGUAUGGUCAAACCUUGUCAGAAAAAUUAACACUUAGAAAAUUCUGGGCUGCCCAGAAUUUUCUGGUCAAUGCCGGUCAACCCACUUUGACCUUAAAUAACUCUUAAUCCGUAAUAUAUAUGGACCUGAUUCUUUUUGGAGGUUAAAUACCACAUAACAAGCUACACAUAUCAACCUUUAGAACACAAAACACAUUAAAGAUGACCGAGAUAUAAGGCCUGACAUUUGCCAAAAAAAA
rnacentral:lncRNA from 1 species